rnacentral:lncRNA from 1 species
UUGGCCGACAAACUUGUUUGAUUUAAAGCUAAGAAUCUUCAGAGACGAGAGCUCUCCAAGCCAGAUUGGUAUCCUUCCUGUAAACAUGUUACCGCCAAGAUCAAGAGUAUCCAGCUUCUUGCAGGUCUUUAAGGAUGGGGGAAGCUCUCCAGAUAAACUGUUUUUCCUUAGGUGCAAGUGUUGAAACUGAGGCGAUUCACAAAGCCACUUGGGUAUUCCUCCGGAAAGAUUAUUAUUUGAAAGAUCCAAACCUACUAAUUGAGUAUUAUUUUGACAGUUUGGAAGCUCUCCUGAUAAAUUGUUGUUUGAGAUUGAUAUGGUAAUCAAUUGUGAAUUACACAUAGAAGAGGGGAUCCCGCCAUUUAUUUUAUUCAUCGCCAGCGCAAGCAUUCUUAAAUUAGGCAUUAGCUGAAAAAUACCAUCAGGAAUAGGACCCAUAAAUGAAUUGUUUGACAAAUCCAAUUCUGCUGUGUUUGACGGGAAAAUGGGCACUGGUCCCUCAAAGAAGUUGGAACUUAAAUCAAUAGAUAAAUCUGUAUCAUCACUAAAUUUUAUUGCGUUGGGUAUCACACCAUGUAGCUCAUUAUUAGCGAGAAAAACGGUUGAAAGAUUGGUCAUUGAGUUCCAAAACCAAUUUGGCACUGAAUCUGAAAUCCCCGUGGAAGAUAGAUCGAGGUGGGCUAGAGACUUCUGAGUCUGUAGCCAUGAGGGAAACUGGGGGCCUAAUUUACAGCCACUGAAGUCCAAAUAAUCGAGUUGGAAAGGAGGAACCCAGUUGUAACUCAGAUUCAAAUCCAAGGAGUUGGAAUUCAGGUCCAUAUCCUCUAACUCUGUAAGAUUAGAAAAAUGAUAUUCUGAAAUAACUCCGAUGAGAGCGUUGGAGCUAAGAGCCAAAUAUUUUACCUCACUAAGGUUUCCAAGGCAUUCCGGAACAGUGCCAUUUAGCUUAUUGUUAUAUAAGAAUAACACCUGUAAGGUGGAUAGUUUACAAAAAGACGUGGGGAUCGAACCGGAAAGUGAGUUAAAUGAAAGAUCAAGAAUAUAUAGAUUGUUCAGGUCACCGAUCCAAUCCGGCAUGUUGCCACUUAGAGAAGUAUUACGUAAGUCCAACUCUUGCAAACUGUUUUUGAUACACCCAGAAAAAGACGCUUUGAAUACGUCUAAUUGGGAAUUAAUUGUGGAACCUGAAAAAUCUAGCGUGCCAAGCUCGCAGAGAUUGCUCAAACUAGACGGUAUCCCGGCAUCAAUGUCAACAUCCUCUAGUUCAAGAAACAUGAGCGAAGUCAAGUUUCCAAUUCCAGAUGGGAUGAGCUCAGUAAAUUCGCUUGCACUGAGAUAAAGAAACUGAAGGGAAGUAAUUCUAAACAACCACUCGGGUAAGCUAGAAUUUACUUUGCUGUUAUUAGAAAAAUCCCAAAGUGAUGCGCCAGAAAGAUCCAAAAGGGAGAGAGAGGUAAAAUUGACAAACGGGAGGGAUUGUGGGAAGUUAUCGAAUUGGCAGCCCGCCAAACCAAUGUCUUGUACUAAAGGAAGCAUGUUCAAUGCUAGUAGCCAAUUAGAGGUAUUCUCAAUCGAAGAGCCGCUCAUAUCGAAAUGAAGUAGAGAGGUAAGUUGAGAAAGCCAAUCAGCACUACUCGAUGUAAGAUAGUUACCGGAAAGAUCGAGGGUUUGAAGUCUUGAUAGGUUUCCGAGCUGAGUGGGUACCACCCCACAAAAGUUCGAAGACGAGAGGCUGAGAUACUUUUAACUUCUUGAACGAACCGAUCCACGGCGGAAUCGAGAGGCAUGCAAGGUCAAUGUAGCUGAGAUCCAAGUAGCUCAGCUGCUUAAGAUGAAGCAAAGAAGGAUCGAAUUUGCUGCCGGCAAACGGCCACCCUUGAAGAUCUAAAAGCACGACAUGUCCGGUUCGGUUGUCGCACUCCACGCCCUCCCAUUUGCAGCAAUCGUUUCCCUCCCAAGGAGAGAAGCCAGCUGCAGUUUGGUUGAAAUCUCUGGCGAACUUCAGAAGUGCUUCUCUCUCGGCAUCUGGGCAACUUAAUGCCGUUGCAAAUGCGAACGAGAGGAAUAGCAGCAAAGCUCUUAUUAUUGCUUCGUAAUCCAUUCUCAGAUUUUGUUAUUUAUAUAUAUAUAUUUGUAAUUUUCUUUUGUGCUGGCUUGUGUACCAAUGCAUGUAAUGUAAAUAUAUAGUUAGCGAAAGCUUGUAGGCUUAAGAUGAGGUUAUUGAUUUCCAAGACGACUUUUCUUUGCAGAAAUAGCUUUCAAGAUGACUUGACUUCACUUGACUUAAGAGUCUACACUUGAAUUUAGAGAACUGCAAUUUAAGAGAAAUUAGAAAUAGCCAGUAUCCUGAUCAGGUCGCAUUAAUUUAAUUAUCCAAUACCAAAGUCAAGAUCGAGUAUCUUACAAUGAUACACUAAUGUAGUUCAAUUUUUUAUAACUAGAGGGUUCAAUUUAGGAGAUCAAUUAUUAUUGCAGGCCUAUUCAAUCCCGCAAUAAUAAUUUAUACUUAUUUUACAUGUAACUUUUUUUUUUUUUUUUUAGGUGGCCGGUUCCGAUGGCUCGUCGAAUACAAAAAAGAAGACGACAGGGAUUAAACAGGGAGCACCCUAUUUGAGAGUAAACAAAAUACAAAAUACAAAAUACAAAAUACAUGGUAAUAGGAUAACAGUGAAUAAGCUUCACACUCCUCCAUUUCUCCCUAAUCCCUCAGGAAUGAAUUCCAAAGGUUAACAGAGGAUAACACUUUAUUACCCACUUCGUCGCUUGCCGUACAAGCAUUCACUAACAUUUUACAUGUAACUUUUAUUACCUUCGAUGAAACGUAUAAGCAAUAUUCUACAAAUUCCUUUCAAAAAAAAAUAAUAAAGUCAAGAUCCUACGCUUAUAUUAAUUUCAUGAAUCAAAUAUUAUUGAAAAUUUAUAGGGGUCACGUAAUCCCUUGCGUUAUCAAGACAGUGACGAAUCAACAUAGUAUUUGAAACUGCAUGUAUUUUACUUAGCUAACAAAAUUCUAUAGGCAGAAAAGACAAUAACAUCAAUUUCCAAGAUGUUAGUGAAUGCUUGUAUACUAAUAUGAGGUCAUUAAUUUCCAAGAUGACUUUUCUUUGCAGAAAAUACUUGAAAGUUGACUUGACUUGAGUUAACUUUAAAGACGACUUGACCAACGCUUGACUUAUACUUCACUUGAGUUUAAUUUGAAUUUAGAGAACUACUAUUUAGUAGAAAUACAAUCAUGUUCUACAGAUGAUUCAACAAAAUUUUAAAAUACAAAAAAAGAGCAAAAUACAAAAGUGCACAUUAUUCAAUGUAAUAAUUAUUGAUUGCAAGUGGUGAGACCUCUUUAUAGGAUUGUUAACUCUCAUUUCGUUUUCUUUUUGAUAUUUUGAUAAACAUAUUUCUUCCGCAUUUUCUUGUUGAUAUUUUAAUAGACAUUAUUUCUCCUGUAUUUUAACGUGGAGACCAUGUGGAAACACUAAUCCUGGGCACCUCACAGGAUCUCCUCCGUUGAUCACACUCCGCUUGAAAACACUAGUUAAAUGGGCAAUGCUAUUAUUACCAAUUAAUUAAAAAUAAAAUUAAAUUGAUAAAAUCAUCAAGAAUAACUUAUAUACACAACGAAAAUCAAAUAAUGGAGAUCGAGUGAAUUAAUGCACUUUAACUAUUGACUCUAUUAUUCAUAUUAUUUCUUAUUUUCUGGGCUAAAUUACAGCAAAAAUCUCUUGCACUUCACAAUUGUCUGAAUUAGGUUAAAAAAAUUAAAAUAAUUGUUGAACUCUGUUGUAAAAUAUAUACAUAUUUUUUAUGAGAUAAAAUAUUAUUGUAAUAACUUGACCUUUUUGGAUCUUUCGUUUCACAAUGUAUUAUAUUCUAGAAAUCUUUCUUAUUUCUUAUACAAAAUAUUCAAAUCGUCAUCAUGUUACUGAAGUUGGAAAAUUGUAAGAGGGGUUGGUGAUGUCCUGAAAUUAUCAUUAAUUUCCAACUAAUAGGCAAACUAUAAUAUCAUCGAUUAGAAAGUUUUAUUAUUUCCAUAUUUAAUGGGAAUAGUAAGUAGUCUAUUAUUAAGAUUAUCUCCGUAACUCUGUAGCAAUCUUUGUUGCAAUUUUUGCCAAAAUUCAGUCUUCGUAAAAUAAUUUAUUCAGCUAAUAUGCUACGAAUUUGUGCAUGUGCUAGGGGAAGGAGAUUAUUAGCUUAAAUGAGUGAGAAUUCCGACUUGCGGCGGGAGCCUAGGUUAUGCCGAGUCAGUUCAAAAUGGCGGGAGGUUGGAUUGUGCCGAGUCAUGUUCGAAGUGGAGUGAUGUUGAGUGGGCCGAGUCACAAUCGAAACCUAUUGGUGCUAUAUCUAUAUGCUUCAAGUGAAUUGAUUACAUAUUUAUAAUAGUUCAAGCAUUUUGAAUUAAUGAUUAGCACUAAUAAUUCAACACGGGGUACUCGAUUUUCCUUCUUCUACUCAUCUUCUUCAUUGAACCUUUAACUGAGCUUUAUGAUUCUCCUUCCUUACAUUGCUCUAUUUUCUGAUCUCUAAGAGCUUUCGUAGCUCACAUUGCACUAUCUUGGAGACAUGCUGACUAUGUAUCUCGUGUCGUUGUAACGCUAGAAGUAAUCGUCGGAACUUGCCGUGUGAAGGGACAAGUUACUUUUAGGAUAGUGUCUAACACCUCUCGACCCACAGGCUUUAUCUAAAUUUUUUAUCUCUAUAAUAUUUUGUCAUUGAUUCUUACAUACAAUCUUUCAAAAUAGUUCUUUAAGUAUUUUUAAAUCAAAAUAUUUAAAAAGCAUAAUUUCUGCUAGAAGAAUGUAAUUUACCUGAAUUAUGGAUUAUUUUGAGUCGAUUGUCCAAUUUUUUUAAAUUUUAAUUUUAUUAUCCAACCUUUUCAAUUUAUUUGAUUUAAGGUAGUUGAUACUACUUUGACUUAAAAAUUUAAGCUAAUUACUAUUUAGUAAAUUUAUAGUUGCAAGAUUUACAUGAAUAAUCUUUAAAAAUAUUAAUAUAGGAGCAGUAAUUGUAUGAAUCUGAGCCUAAAAGUCAUUGAAACUGGGCGAACGAAUUAGAAGGCAAUGUAAACAAUGAUGUGCACCAUUUGAUUAGGAAAAUCUUAAUUAAGUAAAAAGGAAAAAAAAUGAAAAAAAAAAAAUAAUUACAAGAAGAGGUCACAUGAAAUCAAUUAAAUCUUCAAUAAGGCACGAGUAUAUAUAAUUGCCCAAUGGCCUUGUUAAAUAUGUCUUGAAUUUUUUUGGACCCGAAUCAAAUUGCGACACGGCCCAAAAUUUUAUGGAGGAAAAUUAAGAGGACUGAUAAUUUAUAAUUAUCCUAAUUCUAGGGUUAUCCCCCUUUAUAUCCAAACGCUAAUUUUUUUAUCCAAGAAUAGUAGUUCUCGGUUAUCCUGACCAACACCUUUAUUUUCUAUAUAAAACUACUUAAAAUUGUUUUUAUCCCCGGAAACAACCCAAUUUUCAUCCAAACACUAUUUUUUUUAUCCCCAUACUUAUAUCUAUUCCUGUAACAGCUAGUUCUUGCUUAUACCCGAACCAAACGGUUAGACGAGUCAAAUUAAUUACUGGCAAUCUACAAUUGGUCAAUUCCUUUUUGGAGUCCUAUUCUAUGUUCUAAUUAUUCUCAAGUUUGGAUUGGAUUCUUAAGCUGAGGCUAUAUAUACACGAAUGGCUAUUCUUUGUGGGUGUGCUUUAUAUGAGAUUAAUUAAGUGUGCGUUUCAGAGGCUUAGUUUGGUAUUGAGCUGGAUCUAAUACUAUUAAAUAAAAUGGAGUUGAGGAAACGCAUAUAAGAAUAUGCUUUUGCGUUCUCCGAUAAAAAUUCAGAAAAUAUAUCGUAACCCAUUAACCGUAAUAUGCAGAACGCAAUAUUAUGUACGAAAACAAAUAAAAUAUUUUUCUAUCGUUGUUUCUCCCCGCAACAGUGCGUGUUGAAAAGGCCGAGCGAGCCGGGCUUGUUGGUGCGCACGCUAAAUCUCAGGUCGGUAAGAGGCUGAGCCGAUUAAUCUGACUGUACGGACGCAGCUUGAUAAUUCGUCCAUACAUUGUGGUGUGGUUUAGAUAUAUUUUAGAUUUGGGUAUUUGAGAGAGAUAUUAAUUUUGUAUUUUAUCUUUGACAGUAAUAAAGUUUUACUUCAUCUUCGUCCGUGAAUAUUUGCUGGUGGUCAAACCACAUAAACAUUGUACUUUUCAUUUUUUUUCUCUAUUUUUUCGAUUCUUUUUUGGUAUUUUAUGCCUGAUAAAUUAAAUCUUUUUGGCUUUUACCACAAUAGGCCUUGAUGGAGGAAAUUUAUACUAAUUGGAUUCAAAUUUCUUACUCAAAAAUAUAUCUUUCAUUUGCUUAAUUAGUAACAAUCGCACGAUUUAAUUAGAACCCGCUGAAAGAGUGAAGUUACUUUUUGUCUAUUAUUAUAGAAAAUAGUUACGUCAUCUACAUUAUAGGACUAAUUAGUUUAGUUAUUUUAUUUCGUUUCGUAUAAUUACAACUUCUAUAAUUAUAUAUAUGCACAUAAGCAUAUAUAUAUAUAUAUAGAGAGAGAGAGAGAGAGAGAGAGAGAGAAGGUCUUGUGCGCUAUUAGAAGUAUAGAGACCUCCGAUUUUGAUGAUGGGAUUUUCAAAUAGACAAUCGGCUUUGUUAGACUUAAUCUAGCGUAUUUAAACUAUUUUGAAAAUAAAUUUUGCAGUUUUUCGAUAUUAUUUACCUAGUAAUCGAAAUAAUUCAAAAUCAACGAAUGAAAAUAAAAAUAUCAUAAAAUAUUAUGAUGUAGCACUAAAAUUUUCGAUCAUAAAUAUUGAUCUUGUUGUAGAUAAUAUAAAUAAUUUUUUAUCAAAAUUUUAUAUGAUUUGAAUACUUCUACACCGUUAAACUUGCAAAAUAUCAGCCGUUAAAAAUUGAUGAUUAUAUAACACUUAUACUACAUCAUUAUUAAUUCGCUAAUCAUAUCAUUUUUUAGGAAAAAAGUACAAUAAAAAUAUUUUUUUAAUAAUCAUCAAAAGAAAAUAAUCUAAUUAGUUGGAGACGCCACAUCGGCAAUAUAAUUGGUGUAUUCUAGACUUUUUCCUUAUUUAUAGUGUUUGUGUUAUUUUAAAAAUUAUUUUGGUAUAAAUUUAAUUUGCUCUCUUGUGAUUUAGCUCAUUUUUAGUAUAUUACCCACAAAGUUGCACUAGUUAUUUUGUGAUUAUAUUUAUUUUUAUCUAAAAAAUAUACUAUCACAUAGAAUAGCUAAGUAAAUUUUUUUAAUAAUUAAAUGUAAUUUUUGAGUUCACAAGAUGAUAAAAAAAUAAUAAGCUAAAUUAUAGGAUGUUAAGUAUAACUUUUUGAAGCACGCAAUGGUAAAAUAAAAAUAAGCUAAGCCAUAGGGCAGCAAUUUUAAGUUAAUUAGUAGGGCAGCAAUUUUAAGUUAAUUAGUAUUCUAUUCGGAUGCAUGAAUAUUUUAUUUCAAAUAUCAUUCUAAUUUACACAAGAAGCACUUAAGAGUAUAUAUGGGCAAAUAUCUAGAAUAGAUACUAUAUUCAUUCUUUAACUUAUUUAUCAGAAUACAAUUAAUCAUCUUAUAGGUACAAAUAUGUUAUCCUAACAAAUUAUAAAUAAUAAAAUAUUUUAAAUAAAAAAUUAAAAUUUUAAUUUCUAAUUAUAUAAAAAAAUCUUUACAUCAAAUAAAUAUCUGAAAUAAGAUUUUAAAGUAUCAAAAUAUAAGUUAAACAUUAUUCAUGUUACACCAUUUUCUUUUUUAUGUGAAGGAAAGAUAUUAAGCUAUCUAUUUUAUUAAUUUCUUUUAAAAAAUAAACUAAUUUAGAAAUGUAAAAGAACUAGUUUUCAAACUUAAUAUCUCAGAUGCCAACUAUCAGUUAGAAUGUGUCACAUACUGUAAAGCACUUUUCGGCCCAUUGAACCUUUAUGAAGUUGCACUUCUGUUAAAGUUGGUUGAUUUUUUAUUUAUUUCUUUAUUAAAAGAUAAAAAUAUAUUGAAUUUAUCUGAAUUAUGAAUUAUUUUGAGUUAGCUAUGGAUAUUUCAAAAUUUUAAUUUUACAAUCUUAUCUUUUAAUUUGUUUGACCAAGUCAGUCAACGAUAUUUUUACUUCAAAAAUUUAAGCUAAUUAUUUAUUUUAAUAAAUUUAUAGCUGCGAGAAUUGUAUGAAGUAUGUUAACAAAAUCUGUAAGAAUAAACGACGGAUUCAAAAUACUCCUUAGUUUAAGUAAGUUCUAUAUGUUUUUACCAAAUUAAAAUUUUCAAAUAACUUUUUGUAUCAAUAAAAAAUAAAACAAAAAUUUAUAUUGGAGCUUAUGUUUUCAAUAAAUAAAUUUUAAAAAUUAGGGGCCUUUGUUUAUAUACAAUUCACUACUAUUCAAAACUUUUAAAUUUACCCAUCUAUUUUCAAAAGUACCCUUAAGGAAUUUUUCAAAACUCCAUGGUCAACUCAAGAUAAAUUAGAUAUUUUUGAAAUUCUGCCAUAUCAUUCCUAAUAAUUAAUAUCUUAAUUUUAUUUCUUAAAUGACGGAUUACUGCUCUAAUAACGGUGUUCAAGAUUUAUCCAAGCUAAAUAUUUGUCUGGGAAUGAUCAAAUUUGUUAAUCAAUGGAUUUUUCUUUUCGAAAAAAAAUUAUAGAAUAAUUUUCCAUGCAUAAUUAUAAAAGAGAAGAAGAGAAAAUAAAGCGAAACACUAUAGAGAUAACUAUGAUUGCUCCUCGACCAUUAAGAUUAUAAUACAAAUUUGUAUAGUCUUGAUACUUUGUGUGAAAAUUUUAUUUUAUUUUAUUUAAAUAUAAAAUUAUUUAAAUAUUAUUUUUUAUUAGUUUAAAUUUUUAGAAUAAAAUGGUUGUUUCGUAUUAUUUUGAUAUGGUAUUAGAAUUGAAGAUUCUGAAUUCAAGUUAUUAAUUUAAGUCCACAUCAUGAGCCUAAUGAAAAGUUUCGAGUUUAGACGUGAGGGAAAGUGUUAAAUAUAAAAAAAUUUAAACAUCGUUCUUUACUAGUUUAAGUUUUUAGAGUGCAACAGUAGUUUCAUUUCAUUUAACAGUUGUUUUGGUUUUAAAGGUGCCUACAAGCUUCCCAUAAUAUAGUUUUGGAUAUAUAUUUGUGUAUAUUCACUCUGAAUAUAGUUUUAUGAGUAAUACUUCAAUACACCAUAUAAAUUUUGACCAUUUAUUUUUCUUAAUAGGUGGUUUAGAUUUAAUAUAAAUCUAGAGGUGACCUACUAUUGAAGCAUUGGUAUCAUUCACCAGGCACCUAUUUAAAGGGUAUUUUGGUCUUUGUAAAAUAUUAUGGUCUACAAAACCAGUUUUAUCCAACUAAGAAUACUGUGAUCUUUUCAAAAGCCUAUGGUAGUUGGAUUUCAAAUUACAACCAAAUUGUAAAUUUAAAUUCAAAACAACAUUUAAAACUUAAUUAUAAAUCAAAUUCAAUUUUUUUAAAUAUAAAACACAAAUUUAAAAUAAAGCUUUCAGUUCCAAUUUAAAAUUUCAAUUUAAAUCAAAAAUUAAAUUUUGGCUUUAAGAUUAAAAAUUCAAUUUAGAUUCAAAUUUAAAAGUUUAAUAUAAAUUUCAAGAUUAAAAUUUUAUAUUACAAUACCAACUUCAAAAAUUAAAUUUAGAUUUAAUAUUUUUUGAGCCGGAUACUUAACAAAUUGGGUAUUAUCUAAUUUGGUAAGUUACCAAAGUAAAUAAAAUAUUUAAUAUUUAUAGGAUGGUGACAAAUUUGGUAUAUACUACUAUUUUUUUUUUCCAAUAUUGUUAUAUUAACUAAUUCAAAUCGGUAACCUGCUCAACAGGUUAUGUCAUGUAAAAUCCAAUUAUACUCUUUACUAAUUAAAGAAUUAGAUUUUAAUAUUUAUGGUGUAUUGAAGCAUUCCUCUAGUUUUAUUAAUCAAUGUGGAUUUUUUUUUUUAUGCUAUUUGUUGCUUGUAAUAUCACAUAUGAUUGUCGACACAUUAAUAGUCUUUAAAAAUAUGUAUAUAGGAGCAGUAAUUUUAUGAAUCUAAACCUACAAGUUAUUGAAACUGGAUGAACGAAUUAGAACGCAACCUAGACAAUGACGUACACAAUUUGAUUAGAAAAAUCUUAAUUAAGAAAGAAGGAAACAAGGGGAAUAAGAUAAUUAAUUACAAGAUGACGUCACAUGAUAUCAAUUAAUUCUUCAACAAGGCCCAAGUAUAAUUUGCCCAAUGGCCUUGAUGCAGGAAACUUACCCUAAUUGGAUUAAAGUUUUUUAGACAAAAAUAUAUCUUCAUUGCUUAGGUUAAAUCACAUGAUUUAGAACUUGCCGAAAGAGUGAAGUUAAUUUUUGUCUAUUAUUAUAGAUAAUUGUUAAUUACGAGACUGUUUGGUUCACUCAUUUUACUUGGUUUCGUAUAGCUACAACUGCUACAGUUAUGUAUAUUUAUUCUCUUUGGUAGUUUGAAAAUGUCUCUAAUUUCUCACCAGUUGGGUGAUUCGUUUUUUUCCCAACUAUUGAUAUAUGGGUGGAGUUGGAGUUAAUUUGAGUAUAAUUCCAAUUAUAUAGUAGUUAGACUCAAAUAUACUAAGCCUGGACACCUAUUUAAAUUUAUGUACAAUUAAAACUAUAAAUAAGUAGUUGUGUGCAGUCAAAUAGCCUCUAUACUGAACAUACAUUAUAGACGGUCACGAUAAUGUAUGAAAAUGUACCUCUCAAAAGAAGAGAUAAAAAAAAAAAAAAACUUUUUAUACACUCAAGAAAAAGGGUGUAGAUCUUACCCCUCACAAUUUAGGGCUGACAGAAUCCAAAUAAUUUUUAAUAAAAAAAAAUGAUGUGAUAAGUAAAGUAUUAAUGACCUUGGAAUAGAGUGGGAGUAAAAUAUACACCUAACUAUGGGGUGUACUGGUAUCAUUGCUCACAAGAAAAUAGCCUCAUAAUUGGUAGCAAAGAUUAUAGCUGCAGUAUAUAUAAUUUUUCUUACAAUAUUUCUCCAAUUUGGAAUUAAAAAGAAAAACUCGUUAGCAAAGUGUAAAUUUCCAGUCAAAUUGGAAAAAAAAGAAGAAGAAAAUUCCAAUUCAAAAUGAAUUGAGCUUUGAAGAGGUUAAUGGCAACAAAAUUUAUUGUGCAUCUCAUAAAAAAGCAGAGAGGGCUGAAAUUACUUUUAAGCUGUAAUUAAAUGCUUAAUUUCAUUGCUUUUGUAAACAAUAUUUGCCCGCAACUCUACUUUUUCAAAAAAUGCGGUUAUUAAUUUUGUCCUGAGUGAUUAUGAAGUCACUUACAAGAUAGAUAGAGAUGAAAAAAAUAAUCAAAAAAACAUAUCUGCUGUAACUUUUUUUUUUUUUUUCCCUUUUAUAUACUAGUGUGAAAUUUUUUUCAAAAAAUAAAUAAAAAAGGGGAUAAUUGUAUUUCUAAAGCCAUUGACUUUUAUCAUGGAACGGUGGUAGAAAAAAUAUUAUUCUUUUGAAUUUCAGGACCAGUAAAAAUCAUUUUUAACGUGAGAAUCGAUUACUUAUCAGCAAACAAACAGGCCCUUCAAGUUGGAAUAUCAUGCAUGGCACAUUUCCACGACUUUGAGUAAUUGCAAGAGCUCAAUAUUUUUGUUCCACCCACUGGCUAUAAGGUGAUGCCUUGGUAUUGAAUACAUUUUCUUUCAAUACUUUAGCACACUUUCUUAAAAAAAUAUAUAUAAUAAAAUAAGAAUAAAAAAACCAUAUCAAGAGUAGUCCUUCAUAUUUGGUACAAGUGAGAAAUUUUUGGCAGCAUAUAGAAAAGAGAAUUCUGAUUUUAUUUAGCAAAAUUGAUUAAUUUUCAGAUCAUUACAUUUUAGCCAUCAGUUGCGCUUAUUUUUGACAUCUUUUUCUUAAGUCUUGCAAACCAUACUCUAGAGGUUACAUAGAGAGUAUCAUACAAACUGUCUACAUAUUGGAACCACCAAAUCCUAAAUCUUUUAUUAACCAACAGGGCUCCAGUAAUAGGCCAAAAUCCAACUGCAAAUCCUGCUAUUGUAAUAAGGCAAAGGAGUAAGAUCUCUUUUCGAUUUUCAUCUGCCUUUUUUGAAACAUCAGAUCCUGCACGACCAUUAACAGUCGGUGGAGUACGACUUAACUGGCCAAUUGUCGGGCCUUCGGCUUGGCCUUCAUUACCUGGGCAACUCACAUUUAUUUGGAAUCCGCAGAGAUAUUGGUUUCCGACAUAUAUGUUAGGGUCGGUGAAUGUGUCCAUCGGAAUUCUUCCUGAGAAGUUGUUGUACGAUAUGUUCCAGAUUUCCAAGAAGCUUAAGUCGGACAAGCUAGAAGGAAUUGCUCCUGAUAACUUGUUUCUCGACAAGUCCAGAUAUAAUAGUUGCGUCAGAUCGCCGAUCUUGAAAGGUAUUUGUCCUGUUAGAUCAUUACUCGACAAGUUGAAUAUCAACAAUCCCAGAAGAUUUGUUAGUUCAUCGGGUAUGCGUCCCGACAAGCUAUUCCUAGAGAGAUCCAAGAUCGUCAUCUGCAAAAGAAGAUCACUACCAUAUUGAUCUUCUCUUCCUUUGAUGUCCAAUAUCAUAUUCUCAUCAUGAAUACCAAUUGUGCUGUUUAGGAUAGGUCCAAUGUUUGUAUGAGGGUUCCUCAUAGCCAUGAAGUUGCCGAAGGUCAUCGGUAUCGGCCCUGAAAGAUUGUUGUUUGAGAGGUCUAAGAUUCGGAGAGCAGUAAGAUUAGAGAGUUCUGUUGGAAUUCGGCCGACAAACUUGUUUGAUUUCAAGCUAAGAAUCUUGAGAGACGAGAGCUCUCCAAGCCAGAUUGGUAUCCUUCCUGUAAACAUGUUACCGCCAAGAUCAAGAGUAUCCAGCAUCUUGCAGGUCUUUAAGGAUGAGGGAAGCUCUCCAGAUAAACUGUUUUUCCUUAGGUGCAAUGAUCGAAACUGAGGCGAUUCACAAAGCCAUUCGGGUAUUCCUCCAGAAAGAUUAUUAUUUGAAAGAUCCAAAACUUCUAAUUGAGUAUUAUUUUGACAGUUUGGGAGCUCUCCUGAUAAAUUAUUGUUUGAGAUUGAUCUGGUAAUCAAUUGUGAACUACAAAUAGACAUGGGGAUCCUGCCAUUUAUUCUAUUCCUCGACAACAAAAGCGCACUUAAAUUAGGCAUUAGCUGGAAAAUAUCAUCAGGAAUAGGGCCCAUAAAUGAAUUGCUUGACAAAUCUAGUUGUGCCGUGUUUGACGGAAAACGUGGCACUGGUCCCUCAAAGAAGUUGGAACUUAAAUCAAUAAAUAAAUCUGUAUCAGCCCUGAAUUUUAUUAAGUUGGGUAUCACACCAUGUAGCUCAUUAUUAGCGAGAUAAACAGUAGAAAGAUUGGUCAUUGAGUUCCAAAACCAAUUUGGCACUGAAUCUGAAAUCCCCGUGGAAGAUAGAUCGAGGCUGGCUAGAGACUUCUGAGUAUGAAGCCAUGAGGGAAACUGGGGGCCUAGUUUACAGCCACGGAAGACCAAAUCACUGAGUUGGAAAGGAGGAACCCAAUUGUUGCUCAGAUUCAAAACCAACGAGUUAGAAGUCAGGUCGAUGAUCUCCAACUUUGUAAGAUUAGAAAAAUGAUAUUCUGAAAUAACUCCGAUGAGAGCGUUGGAGCUAAGAUCCAAAGAUUUUACCUCACUAAGGUUUCCAAGACAUUCCGGAACAGUGCCAUUUAGCUUAUUGUUAUAAAAAGCGAACACCUGUAAGGUGGAUAGUUUACAAAAAGAGGUGGGGAUUGAACCGGAAAGUGAGUUCAAUGAAAGAUCAAGAAUAUUUAGAUUGUUCAGGUCACUGAUCCAAUCCGGCAUGUUGCCACUUAGAGAUGUGCUACUUAAGUACAACUCUCGCAAGCUAUUUUGGAGACAUCCAGAAAAAGACUCUUUGAGUGCAUCUAACCGGGAAUUAAUUGUGGAACCUGAAAAAUCUAGUGUGCGAAGCUCACAGAGAUUGCCCAAACUAGACGGCACCCCGGCAUCGAAGUCAACAUUGCCCAGUUCAAGCACCUUUAGAGAAGCCAAGUUUCCAAUUGCAGAUGGAAUGAGCUCUGCAAAUCCACUUGAAGUGAGAUAAAGAUAUUGAAGGGAAGUAAUUCUAAACAACCAGUCGGGUAAGCUAGAAUUUACUUCGCUGUUAUUAGGAUAAUCAUCAAGUGACGUGUAAGAAAGAUCCAAAAGGGAAAGAGAGGUAAAAUUGACAUGCGGGAGAGAUUGUGGAAAGUUAACAAGUUGGCACUGCUGCAAACGAAUGUCUUGUACUAAAGGAAGCAUGUUCAAUGCUUGUAGGCAAUUAGACGUAUUCUCAAUCGAAGAAUAGCUCAUAUCAAUAUGAAGUAGAGAGGUGAGUCGAGAAAGCCAAUUAGCGUUACUCAAUGUAAGUGGAUUACCAGAAAGAUCCAGAAUUUGAAGUCUUGAGAGAUUUCCGAGCUGAUCGGGUACCGUCCCAAAAAAAUACGACUGAGAUAUGUUAAGAUAGUUUAACUUCUCGAACGAACCGAUCCACUGGGGAAUCGAUAUGCCUGCAAAGUAAUUGCUGCUGAGAUCCAAAUAGCUCAGUUGCUUAAGACGGAGCAAAGAAGGAUUGAUUUUGUUGCCGACAAGUUCUCUCCCUUGAAGAUCUAAAUGCACGAUGUGUCCGGUUCGGUUGUCGCACUCCACGCCUUCCCAUUUGCAGCAAUUUUUUCCCUCCCAAGAAAAGAAGACAGCUGCAGUUCGGUUGAAACCUCCGGCAAACCUCAGAAGUGCUUCCCUCUCGGCAUCUGGGCAACUCAUAUUAGAAGAUUUGAAUGCCACAGCAUAUGCAAACGAGAGGAACAACAGCAAAGCUCUUUUUAUUGCUUUGUAAUAAUCCAUUCUCAGAAUUUCUUCUUCUUCUUCUUCUUUUUUUUCUUUUUUUUUUUUUUUUUUUUUUUGUUUUCCCCGAUUUUUUUUUCUUUUUUUUUAGCAGUGCCUCACGUUGGAUUUAUAGUUACCAAAGCUUAUAGGCUAAAAAGUCAGUCAACACGAAGUUGCACCGAAAUGCCACCAUAAAAUGCUUCCCACUUUGUUGACGAGGGUGUUUAAUUUUCCAAGAUGACUUAGACUUCACCAUUAUGGAAAAGCCGAAAGCUAAUUUAAUAAAGAGACAAUCUAUAAUAUCUAUAAUCUAUAAUAACAUACAUGAAUUCUCAGUUUUGGAACAGGUGGCGAGCGUGGAGGCGUGGGCAGGGGCGAGCGCGGGGCGCGGGCAGGCGGGCGCGCGUGGCGGGGCGCCUCGUGGCGCGGGCACGCGGGGCGCGGGCAGGAAGCGCGAGCCGGCGCAAGGCGCGGCGGGACAGGUGGCGGCGAGCGAAGCGCGGCAGGGGCGAGCGUGGGGCGCGGGCCGGCGGGCGUGCGUGGCGGGGCCGCCGCGUGGCGCGGGCGAGCGGGCUGCGCGGCAGGCGGCACGUGGGCGGGCCACGUGCGCGGGGGAGAGGAGAGGGAGAGGAGAGGAGAGGCGGGCGCACGUGGGCGCGGGCGCGCGGGGCGCGCGCAGGCGGGCGAGCUCGCGGGCCGCCGCGUGCGCGGGCGAGAGGACGGGGAGAGGAGAGGAGAGGAGCGAGAGGAGAGGCGGGCCCAGCUAGGAGAGCAGAGAAGGUAGAGAGAAGGGAUUUUUUUUUUUUUUUUUUUGUCUCUUUUUGUCUCUUUCUACUUUUUCUUUUUUAUUUUUAUUUUAUAAUAUUGUUCUCUUAAUAUAUGAUUAAAAAAUUUAUAAAUUUUUUAAUUCAAUUAAAAUUUUAUUUAUUUUUAUAAAAAUUUAAAAUAUAUAAAUAAUUUUAAAUAAGUUAAUUAUUUGUAUUCAAUAUAAAUUUUAAUUAAGAUGAAUUAAAGAAUUAUUAAAAAUAGAUAAAAAAUAAGGAAGGAUUUAAAAAUGAAACAUUAAAAAAGUAAAAAAAAUAAAAAUAAAAGAAUAAGAUAGAUAGAAGAAAGAAUAGAGAGCAAAAUGUAAGAACAAUAAAUUAAUUUUUCUAAAAAUUAUAUAUAAUUAUAAUAAUAAUUAUAAUAUAUAUAAUUAUAAAUAUAAUUAUAUAUAAUUUCUUAUUAGUAUGAUUUUUAUCUUUAUUUUUUUAAUCUUUCUUAUAAUUUAUUUUUAUAAUUUUAUUACAGCAAUAGUUGUUUAUUUUUUAGUUAUUUUUUUAUAUAAUUUUUUGACUCCUUAUUUUUAUUAUUAUUUAUUUUAUUUAUAUAUUUAUUUCUGCAAAAUCAUCCCGCCGCAACGCGCGGGUCCUUCACUAGUUAUCAAUAUAUCCCUCUCAAAUUCUCACCUGUUAUAUAUUGCGCUGAAAAACAUCUGUUCCUAAAUAUAUCUUCCAAAAUUUUUAAAUAAAAAUUAAAAGAAAAUCAAAUCCUUGGAUUCGGUUGGGUCUGAAUAAUUAAUAUACUAUAUACCAAUAUUCUAAAAGGAAAUAUGUAAAAAAAACAUACCCUGUCAUUUAACAUCCGGGCGGCACUCGAUCUACAUAUUUAAGUUAUUAAUGCACUUAUUGGGUCUAUUUGAACGAAUUUGAAUAGUGGCUGCCCACAUAAGCUCGAGUAUGGAUAAGGAUGUCCAGUACGGAUAUCCGAAAUUUUAUCCGAAACCAAAUCUGAAAAGAACGAAUUUAUUCAAUUCUAAACGGAAAUAGUUUUGGAUAUGAAUAUAAGAAACAAAAACUCAAAUAAUUUGGAUUCAGAUAUGAAUUUAUUUAUAUAUUUUUUGAAUUAUACUUUAAAAAUUUAGAUUUAAUGUUAUAUAUUUUAAAAUAUUGUAAAUAGAAAUAAUUGUUUCGGGUUCGGGUUUGGGCUCUGGUUUCGAAGAAGUUUAGGUAGGGCUGGCAAACGAGCGAGCCGGCUCGCGUUCGACUCGUGUUCGGCUCGAUAUUUGGCUUGCUCGAGCUCGACUCGAAAUUAAAUGAGCCGAGUUUGAACAAAAUAAAAGGCUCGAAAUUCAUUUCAAGCCGAGCUUGAGUAUUACUCGGCUCGUUCGAAUUAGGCUCGAAAAGCUCGAAAAGCUCGAAAAGCUCGAAAAUAUAUAUAUAUAUAUAUAUAGGCCGGGGCUACUAUACUCUUAUGAGUAUAGACCCCCUUGUACUCAUAAAUUUUUAACCGUUGAUUGAUGGGAUGUGUGGUUAGGAUGAUGGUGGUCCCACUUAAAAUGAUAGUGGUCCCCUAGAGUUGAGUGGGUAGUUGGUUGAAUAGUAUGAUCUAACGGAUGGAAAUGAUCAGUGAAAUAAAUCUAAGGGCCGAAAACUUAUGAGUAUAAAAGAGCCAAUACUCAUAAAAGUACAGUAGCCGGACUCUAUAGAUAUUUAUAUAUAUAUAUAUAAUGUAUUUUAAUUAUAUAUAGGCUUUAAUUUAAUUUGGGCCAUUAUUGUUGGCCCAUAAAAUAAACCCAACAAGUACAACCGUGCAAUUGAGCCCAACUCUAAAUUUACAUAACACACUCUCUCUUUCAGACUUUCACUGUUGCACAUAACCCUAAAAUAUGAUAAUAUUCAAAUUUCCAAAUCCCUAAUUUUUUUUCCUCUCUCUCUCUCUCUCUCUCUCUCUGACCCUCACCCAGUCAGGCAGUCACCCUAGCUCACAUUUCUUACAAUUAUUUUGUAUUUUGAACUAUUGAACAUAUUGUAUCAAAUUAUAGGUAAUGUUCUAUAAAAAUUAAACUAUUGAUUAUAUUAUGUCGAGAAUUUCAAUCGGCUCGUUUAGAGCUCGAGCUCGGCUCGACUCGAAAUUAGGCUCGCUCGAGUUCGGCUCGAAUUAAUUUCAAGCCGAGCUUGAGCCUAGAUUUAAGCUCGAAAUUAAUUUCAAGCCGAAUUUGAGAUGACAUAAGCUCGCUCGAGCUCGGCUCGUUUCCACCCCUAAGUUUAGGUCGGGGUCGUGUUUGGAUAUAGAUUUUUAAAAUCCAUCGGAUUGGGUUUAGAUUCGGGUUUCGGGUUUGGUAGUCGGGUUUGGAUUCAGUUUUUUGAAAAUUUGCUCUAAAUCCAACCCGUUGACAUCUCUAGGUACAGAUCGGACAAGGAUCGAGUCUAGAUCGAGUACAGAAACCUCUAUAUGUAUAUAUUGUAUAAAGCACAAAUAUUUAUUCUAUGGUAAGUGUAAAAUAAAAAUAUAAAUUUAUAAUAGAUACACCAUAAGUUCAAAACACAUGCAUGUAUUUUUUUGAGAAAAAGGUAGCACGCUACCUGCUUCAUUCAUUUAGAGGAUGAAUUAGGCUUACAUAAUGGAGGCAACCGGGGCCUCCGACGGGAGAAAGAGCGUCAAAAGCCAGAAAAACAAAGACAAGAAACGAAAACGACAAGAGACUAAAACCAAAAAAAAGAAGGAAAUGAGGGUAAGGGAAGCGAAAGCGACAAAUAACUAAAACCAAAAGAGGAAGAAAGAAAGUGUAAAAGCGACAGGCGUCAAACAGCAGGGAUCCAGCAGGGUCAACAAGGAGCGAUCCAGGUGUCAAGCAGCAGUUUUGCCCGUUCCAGGCACCGAGUAGGGUUGGGGGCAAUCUCUCGAAAGAUUAAACUAUUCCUUUUCGUCCAAACGACUCACCAAAUGGCAGAAAGGAGGGAGGGGGAAAUAAGUCUCUCUUUGGCGUCUCUUAGAUCAAUAAGUUUAGACCAGAGGUCUCUCACAUCGUCCGAGGGAUCAGUCAGAGCCUCCAAGCCGCCUACGCUCAGCAAAAUAAAGCGAACAAAGACACAGGAGCUUAUGAGGUGGUCGCAACUUUCCAAAUUAACGGCACAGAAAAAACAUGUUUGAUCCGCUAGCCACCCUUGCUUAUGGAGCCUGUCUGCAGUGGGGAUCCUCUUACGAAGUAGUAGCCAUAGGAAUACUUUGAUCUUGCCAGGGAUAUUCAAUUUCCAGAUAUGUUGACUUAGGGGGUCCACCAUGCCUGAGUCCGUGAGAAAGUGAUAAAGGGAUCUGACUGAAAACUUUUGGUUGGAGGUCCAACGCCAUUUGAUUAGGUCCGGAAGCUGAGUUGGCCGGAUGGGCCGAAGCAAGUCCAUAAGCAGGCCCUUUUGUCUAUGAUAGUUCACAGGUAGAGGCCCUGCUGGACCGCGGCAGAUAUAUUGCCACCGCCAGCCAUUAGGGCCCCAGCACUGAGCAAUAGUUGUCUCCUUGUUUCGGGUAUGACCGUAGAUGUCGGGGAAGAGAGUACGAAGGGGAGCCUCGCCGUACCAAAUUGAUGACCAAAUCUUAAUAUCUUUGCCGUUUCCGAGGUUGUAGGUUGUACCGCAUUUAAAGAUGUCCCGGCAUCGCAUUACACUUUUCCACCACUGAGAAUAUGGCACAAAGGCCCUGCCCUCAUGAAGAGGUUUGCGUCUAAUAUAAUAAAUCGAUUUGACUAACUUCUUCCAAGGUAGAUCUGGUUCGCUAAAGAAGCGCCACCACCAUUUAGUUAAAACCGCUGUAUUCAUAGUUGCCAAAUCCUUGAUUCCUAGGCCUCCUUCUUUUUUGCUUUUGCAGACUGCCCUCCAAUUUACGAGGCAUGCCCCUCCAGAUAUGUUUGUGCAUCCGCACCAAAAGAAAGCUCUCCUCAAGGCUUCAAUUCGGCGCAGAGCCCAUUGUGGAGCUUUAAAGACGGAGAGGAAGUGAAGUGGCAGAUUUGAAAGGACAGAGUUCACGAGGAUCAACCUCCCUCCUUGGGAGAGGAGCUUGGCCUUCCACCUUUCAAUUCUCUUAUAAUGCGGUUGAUAAUGAUCGACCAGUCCUCUUUUCGCAAAGAUCUAUUGCAAAGGGGUAGUCCCAGAUAGCGGAUAGGGAGGCUUCCAACUUGGCAGCCCAGGAUGUUAGCAAGCCUGGUAGCUCUAGAGGUGUUUGAGCCCAGGUAGUACAGUUCGGACUUGUCCAUAUUGAUUUGGAGUCCAGAGGCCCAUUCAUAAAAUUUCCAUAAGAAACGCAAAUUUCGCAGGAUAAAUUUCCUAGGCUCGCAGAAGAAGAUCGUGUCGUCGGCAAAUUGAAUCAGAAUAGUUUGACAGUCCGAAGUUGGGCCGAUUCCCCGAAGAAAGCUAUUCCUGCAGGCCAUGUCGGAAAGUCUGGAAAGACAAUCUGCAACAAUCAAGAAGAGAUAGGGGGAGAGAGGGUCGCCUUGCCGAAGACCCCUUCGUGUUUUCAGCCAGUUUGUAGGAGUGUCGUUCACAAGGAUGGCUAUUUUGGCGUUACAGACGCACUGUUCAAUCCAGGACCACCAUUUUUCACUAAACCCGAGCCAAAGCAUGAUUCCUUUCAGAAAGGGCCACCGAACGUUGUUGAAAGCCUUUUCAAAGUCUGCUUUGAGACUGACGCAUUCCUUCCUAGUUUUGGAGCACAAACUGAUUAGUUUGCAGGCGUUGACGAACGAGUCCGCAAGCAGUCGGUCUUUGAGGAAGGCCGAUUGGGAAGGAGAAAUAAUAGACGGUAGAACCAGGGCAAUCCUAUUCGCAAGAACUUUGGAAAUAAUUUUCUGGAUGCCGUUGAUGAGACUAAUUGGGCGAAAAUCCUUGGCCUGGCACGCGCUUUCUUUCUUGGGAAUGAGGCAGAUGAAGGAGUAGUCAAUCGGGGCUGUGGAAAGCGUGCCCCCUUGGAGAUCAAUGAAAAUCUUGUAAAUGUCGUCUUUAACGGUUUCCCAAAAAGUUUGGUAGAAGAUAAGUGGAAACCCAUUAGGUCCAGGAGCUUUAUCACUACCAAGUUGAAAAGUAGUAGCCUUAACUUCCUCCAUGUCGAAGGGGGCAGUUAGACACUCAGGUUGUAGUAGCGUGUUGGAUUGGAAGAGAGCGCUCCAAUCCCCGAAGGAGGAAGGUCCGUUCUCUGCCUGACCGAACAAUCGGUGGAAAUACUGAUAGAAAAAGUAUCUUUUGUGAUCCUCCGUGUUUAACAGUCUCCCAGUGUCAUCUUCUAUUACUUCAAUGGGGUUGGUGCGUUUCCUUCCGUUGGCCACAGCAUGGAAGUACUUGGUAUUAGCGUCCCCCUCCUUGAGCCAUAAUUGUUUGGACCUGGUUUUCCAGAGGACUUCCUCUUCUUCCAAAAUCUGUGUGAGGUUUGAUUUGAUACGUUCUCUCUUAUCGUGGAGAUCUAAGCUCAGAUCUUGGAGCUCUUCCAUCUGAUCAAUGGACUGAAGCUCAUCCAGAAGGGACUUCUUAGCUACGGUAAUAUUGUAAAAGUUCGAUUUGCACCAUUCCUUCAUACGAACUCUGCAGUGCCUCAGUUUAGCAGCAAUAGUGAGGAUCGCUGAUCCUUUAGGACUGACUUCGUUCCACCAUGUGGUACUUUGGAGAUAAAAUCCUCUUUCGUGAGCCAGACUUUCUCAAAACGAAAUCUACGCGUCGGAGGUGGGAGCCUAGAGUAGAGGAGGAUCGGAGUAUGAUCAGAGGUGAUUCUAGGGAAGGCUUUGGCCUUGCACAGUGGGUGAGAGAGGUCCCAUUCCGUGGAGACGAGGAACCUGUCUAGUUUUGCCAUGGUGGGUUGACGAUACAUGUUAGACCAAGUGAAGCUUUGAUUUGAAAGCGGAACAUCAAUGACCUUUAGGUUAUUGAUAAGAUCCGAGAACAUCUCCAUGGAUUUUCUACUCCAAGUACGUCCACUCCUUUCGGUUUGAUUUCUGGUGAAGUUAAAAUCCCCACAGAUGACCCAGCUGGUGCAGCAAAUAUCUUUGAGGGAAGCCAAUUCAGAACAGAAGGCGUCCUUACCCUCCCAGGUGGGGGGUCCGUAAACAUUAGUGAUGAAGAAGGUCGAGCCGCUCGCGUGAUGGGAGAGGCGUAUGGUAAGAGAGUACGAUCGAACAAUAACUUCUAGCCCAGCAAAGUAACUCGAGCACCAAUAGAUAAUAAGACCUCCUGAGGCCCCGACGACCGGCAAAAAGUGACAUUUAUCAAAACUAGAGCCACAACAUGAUCUAAGAAAAGACCGAGAUACAGAGUCGACUUUAGUUUCCUGGAGACAGACAACUGCACGGUAGUGCCUAGACACGAUAGAUUUAACUAGACAUCUUUUACGAGGAUCAUUGAGACCUCGAACGUUCCAACUAAGAAAGGAAGACAUCAAAAAGAGACGAUCCCCUUAGGAGCAACAUCAGAACAGUAAAAGGGAGAGAAACUAAGUUAAAUUAGACCCCGACGGACAGGAAGUUCUGAAGAUCCUUCGCUUCAGCAUCAGAUAUCGCUACUCCAAGCAGAAGACUCUUCUUCUUGAUUUUAGAGCGAGACAGAUUACGAGCGGAGCGGCCUGGUUCAGACGAGGAUCCUUCCAAUAGUUUAGCUUUCCUGUUCGUUGCUCGCUCGAGCACGUUGACAUCCGUCAGAUUCGAGAGUCUGGCGCUUACCUUAAGGGAGGUUAGGGCUCCGCCAGUCAGUUGGGAGGGGGAGGGCUCAGCAGAGUGGAGGGGGGGAGCAUGCUGGUAGGACAGAAGGAGCCCAAGGCCGGGCCACAGGAGGUAGGCAAGGUGGGAGGCAGCAAGUAGUCUCCGACCCCCGGGGAGGGAAGGCGCGUCAUGGGAGGGAGGGCGAGCCGGGGGGGCUUCGGGCUGGCAUGAGAGCUCAGGGGGUUCAAGCCCGGACUGAGGGAGCACCGAUCAGGGGAGCCCGAGGCCGGACUGUCCAGGGCGAGGCCCACGUUGGGUCCACAGAUGGGUUCCAGCAAGCGGAGGAGGCGGGCCGGGGGAAAAUCUGGCCGCGACCGGGGCCCCAGCCCAGGGGUACGGGCUGGCGAGAAGCCACAGUGCCAGCCGGGGGAGCCGCUCGACCUAGGCGGGGAGCACAGGCAGGCGCGGAGCUCGAUCGCGGGGAGCUGCGGACUGCCGCGGGAGGUGCUCGGCCAUGCGAGGAGGCUCGGCCGACAGUGAGGGAUCGCGUAGUCCAGGGUCAGAGGGAGCACUCAGGCAAGAUCAGGCCGAGCCGGCUCAUCCAAGGCCAGGCCUCAAGUUGGGCUCCACAGAUUGGUUCGAGCAGGCGUGGGAGCUCGGUAACCGGCGGGGGACUCGCGGCGGGGGAGCUUGGAACCUGGCGGGUAGGGCUCGGGCCGGCGGAGGAGGAGCUCGGCCGAGCGGGGAGCUUGGACCGGCGAGGGCUCGGGCCGUCGGAAGGUCCUAGAGUCCGAACAGAGGGAGCACAAGCAGAAAGGCAGAUGCGGCGGGGGACUUCGGACCGACGGGGGAGCACAGGCGCGGAUCGGUGAGAGCUCGGGCCGCGCUGGGUGGAUGCUCGAAACCGCUGGGGGAGCCGACACCGCAGGAGUGGCUCGUGGCGGCAAGUGUAAUAUACGAAAAAUUUCGGGUUGCGAUGCUAAUUUUAAUCUGGAAUAUUAAAGUGAAAUGUGAAUUGGAUGUGCAUCAUUCCAGAGUGUUUCUGGACGUGUGGGAAUGAUCUCUGGAGGUAAUUGGGUAUUCGGGCACAAAUCGGGCGCGAAAUGAACUUGAAAGGGAAUUUUCGGAUUAUGACGCUAACUUUAACCUACGCGAUCAAAGUGAGAUAUGAAUGUUAAUUAUAGUACCUCCGAAUUAUUUUGGAAGUGCGAGGAUAGUUAAUGACAAAUUCCGGAGAUGCUUGGAUGUUAAAAAAAUAAAAAAAAAGUCGGAUUUUGAUUACAUUGUUAAAUUUGGAACAAGUUGGUCGAAGUAAGGCCAAAAUAAAAUUAAUUUGCUUUCGAGCUUAAUUAGUAGCUUCGGCAUAGUGUUUAGUAUGAUUUGGAAGUGAUUAGAAAUAUUCGAGGCGAGGCAAGGUGGAAGAACGAAAUGGGUUGAUAAUGCUGCUGCUGCCAGAAAAUUCUGCAAGUGCAGAUUUUGCAUUGUGUACCUCAGUGAGGUACAGGUGUGUACCUCAGUGAGGUACAGGCCUUUAAAACCUGCAGCAGGGCUGAAAUGUACUUAUGUUGAAUUGAGGGGUUAAGUUGCAAUUUGUCAAGCUUAUCACCUAUUUCCAGCUGAGUGGCAUGUGUCCACGUAAUUGGACCCAACUCCUCUUCACUGGUUCUCAUCUUUAUCCCCUUCCUUAUCUCUUUACAAGCUUAGGGGAAUUGGUGGAGAGGGUGACAGCUUGGGUGUUUGAGGUUGUGACGAGUAGGGAAACCAGCAGAGGAGAAGUUAUAAUCAGAGGUAAGAGAUGGUUUCCAAUUAAUAAUCAAGUUAAAUGCACUAAGAGAGGUUCUCUAAGGUAAUUAAACUUGGUGUUAUGCUGUAGAUUAAUUGGAAGCUAUACAAGAGAAGGAAGUUGUUAAAGUGCUACCUUGGUAGAAAGGCUGCCAAGGAAGCUAAUGAAGCAGAAUUUAAGAUGUUGGAGCUGCCGAAUUGGAGCUGCCGCUGAGGAAGCUUUAGAACAAAAUUUUAAGUUGUUGGAAUUGAAAGUAACCAGAGGGAUUAUCAAAUUAAGGUAAAGUGUACUCGAUAAUUAAUUACAGUUCAUGUAAUUUCAUUAAAGAGGAGUUACAACAUUGAGGUUUGCUGCUGAAAUUGGCAGAUUUAGUGUGUAGGGCUUGUUGAAGCUGCCGAAGUGAGAAAUUCAACCUGGGAAGCUUUGAACCUGAGGUAAUUAAUGACUUCUCAGCGAGGGUCUAGUUUAAUUACUCCUUAAGAGAGAGUUCUAGAUAAAGUAAGCAUGUAAAGAAGCUUAAAGGAGCCUUUAAUUGGUUCAAGUGAAUAUAUGUAUGCAGGAAAUUUUCGAAUUGAGGGAAGCAAUGGUGCAGAAUUCCAGCAUGGUGCAGAUUUUGAGGUUGAGCUGAAAUUGUUGCCUUAUUAGAGCUUCUUUGGUGUCCAAACUAAAAGAGGACCAAGUGGAACUUCAAGCUCAGGUGAGAUUAAUGUAAGUUCCUGGGCUAAUGGGUGUUAAUUGUACUCUAUGCUGUAAUGACUACAAAGAGAGUAGUCAUGAGGCAGAUUUCAGCAUUGAAUUCUGUUUACUAUUGAAGCUGAUUUCUAAGUAAUUGAAGCUAAAAAAAAUGAAACUCUAGGAUGCUGGGAGCAACUUAGAAAGCUUCUAAUUCAGGUAAGAAUAGAAAUUAUCCCUGAUUUGAGUAGUGGAAUGUUAUAAAGAUAAUUUCUAAGUGAGUUGUGAAGCACAAUUUUUGAAAUUCAGCCUGAACUGAAUUUCAGCAUGAGAGGUAUUUGUUAUUGAGCUGAGAACUAUGUAAUUGGACAGCAAAUUAAGUCACUUAUAAUUAUGUUAUGAUUAGGAGUUAGAUUAGUUACUCUAGAAGAGUUCUAAGCAUAAGAACUAAUUGUUCUAUGCUUAUAAUAAAUGCUCGAAGAGGAGGUGAAAUGCUGAAAAUUCAGCAUGAAGCAAGAUUUCAGCAUAAUGCUGAAAAUUAACAUUGAGCUGAAACUUUAAGUAUUAUGGCUUCUAUGAGAUUUGCUUUAGUAAAUACUUAUGAGUAGUUGUUAAAAGGUGAAAUUGAACUAAGACCAUGAUAACUUUAUCUUAAAGUUGAUAAGAAGUUUGAGAGUGAGAUUAUACUGAUGUACAUGUGGAAAGUAUAUCUAUAUGUAUAUAAGUGCUUAGAAGUUGAAAUGCAAGUUUUGUUGAAAAUGAAUAUGACGUCGGUUUAAUCUCUCCUAUACUUAUUUGAAUGAAAGUUAAACUUGCUCGAAAGUCAAAAUUGAUAUUCCGACAGGUCGGCGACGCAUUAAUUACGGUAGAAGCCAAUUCGUCUCUAAUUGCAUCGAGUCGCGUGAUAUUGUUCUUGAUACACUUCAAGACGUGAGCUCUUAGUUGUUGACACCACUACAGGUGGGUGGUGCUAUCCGAAGUCUUUGAAUCACCUUUUAUGUCUAUGAUAAUUCAUUGAGCAUAUUUAUAUUUGUUGUCAUGCAUUAUAGGGUAUUGGCAUUGUGCAAGUGAAAGUAUGUAUUCCUAUCAAUAGUGAGAACAUGUGAACAUUAGAAUGUGAAUAUAGAACCCUAUGAAUGUAUGGACUAUAGCAAUAGUAAACUUGGUGACAUUCAACUAGAGAUUUGGUUAGCAUCGAGAAAUGGAAUUGUGAAACUAGCAUAAAGAACUAGUUAGAGUAAAGUGUAACAGUGUUUGUCAGUUGAAUCCUCUAAAAGGGGAUCAGAUCAUACUCACAUUUGUUUAGUUCAAGUGAGGUCGCUCCUCCUUGAACGAUGAGCUCCGGAGUAGUCAUCUUUACUGGACCAGGAGGUGCGUCUCCCCCAGUUGACGGUCCCAUCGGGUGCAGGUGCGUCUCCCCGAUAUUUGGGAUAGCGUCAGUGAGUAAUUGUUAACCAGAGGGUUAACCAAAAUGAAUUGGAUAAACUCAGUAAAAGCAUGCAUGCAUAUUUACAGUUUUUCUAUAUUGCUUUCUUUCAGCUUUGUACAGGUAUUGUAGUAGUUACAUAUUAUAGUUGGUUACUAUCUCAGUUUACUUUUCUUGCCUACAUAUGCCUGGAUAGACCUAGUGGGUGAGUCGGCGAGGUCGGCGGCCGAACCCACUGGGAACUUUUAGUAGUUCUCACACUACUAACCAUACAGGUUCCAGCGCGACGUUGUGGCUGAGGAUCGCGACAAGAGCCCAGCAGCCUAGCUAGUGGGCACCCGAGUUCUAGUGGUAUACCAUUUUGGUUUCAUAUUGUACAUAAUGAUGAACAAAGAGAUGUGUAAAUGAAAAUUUAAGUGAUGUAAAUAACUAAAUGUUCAGUUAUUUAGUUAUAUAUAGUUUAGUGUUAAAAGUUUUAAAUUACAGUGAAUUUUCAGUAUAGUUAGCCUACUAUCACUUGUGCUUGUUGCUUGCCCUCGUGCAAGCCAUGUAUAUUGAAAUGUUAUCCUGGGAAUUGUUUAUUUCUUUAUUCAUGUACUCGUUGUUGUUGAGCCUUGGGCGGAUAGAGGAGGUUCUGUCCGUUUGGCGUCUGUGUACGGGCUCGGAUCGACCAAAUUGGCGAUAGCGGGACGUGACAGGCAGGAAGGUCCGAGCUCGGACCGGCGGGAGGGCUUGGGCUGGCAGGAGGGCUCGGGCCGGCAGGAAGGUCCGAGUCCGAGCAAAGGGAGCACCAGGCAGAGAAAGCCGAGGCUGGGCUCUCCAAGGCUAGGCCCAAGUUGGGCCCACAGGUGGAGUCCAGCAAUUGGCUUCCCGGGCUCUCCAAGGCCAGGCCCAAGUUGGGCCCACCGGUGGAGUCCAGCAAUUGACUUCCCAAGGAGAAGAGGUGGGCCCGUCCGAUCGCUGGCUUUCCAAAAUCCGAGGUCCAAUUGAAUGACCCAGGGCCCAGUGCAGGGUAGACAAGUGGGCCAGAUAAAAGCGCAGCGAAGAGGAGGGUCCGCGUCAGUCCUGUCGGACAGAGGCCCAAAUAAAGUAGUUUGAAAUUUGAAACAGAGCAGCACAGUACUGGACCAAAGGGGGAGAGGCUCCAAGCAGAAUUAAUGCGCAGGGACUUUUCCCGAUAAACGAGGCUUCCACAAAAGCUGAUCCCGGCUUGACCAGAAGGGCUCGUCUUCCAACAACAGGCAAAAGGUGAGCGAGGCUGAGUAGGGUGAGACAAAAAGGAAGCAUGAUCAGCAGGCAGGCCAGUACUUUCUCUAACAGGCAGAUCAACUUGCACGAAGGAGGAAAGAUUUGGAGAAAGGCAAAUCUGGCCGUUGGGGUACGGGAUGCGGUCAGCCGAGGCGUCACCGAUCGGCGAUUCAGCCGAGGCAUCACUGACCGGAGAGUCCUCGGCCGCGGGCGCCUGCCCUGACCCCGUGGAGACUAGAGAGGCUUCGGCCACUGGCGCCGACCCCCACCCCAGGGAGACCGAAGAAGCCUCGGUCACCGGCACAAACCCUAGGGAGACCGAAGAAGCCUCAGUCACCGACACCGACCUCGAUCCCAGGGGGGCGAUGAGGCCCAGUGAAGGUGGUCGGCAGCGCCUCCUAUCUCGGAUUUCGGAGGAGUCAGAGGAGCCGUCCGAGUUAGGGUCGUCGUCGUCCAGGGGCCUCCGCGCUCGUACUUCACCAAAGUACCGACGCUCCACCUCUAAGGAUCUCACGUCAGGAUCGACAUGGUCCGUUCGCUCGUUGGGCGGGGGGGAGGAUCACCACGGCCAUUGUCGCUGUCUCGAGCCCAACGCUCAAGUUGGAUUAGGACCGACAUAGAGACGUCCCCGAAGGCGACCUCCAGAUUCUCGGGUAUGUCAUGGAGGUGGUUGACGGCUACGAGGCAGCGGUAGCCGGAGAGAUCUACCAUGCGAGUCGUGUGCUCGUCCGCCCUGAUGAAUCGGGCGAAGCCGCCGACAAGAGCCGCAACGGUACGGGAAGACCAACAUUUAUAGGGGAGAGAUACCAGUCUGAUCCAAGCUUUGUAAGGAGGAGAAAACGGCGGGCGCCACUAUAGGGAUUCCAGGCAUAGCAUCGUAAUCUAAUAUCCCCCAGGCUGAGGUUAAGCCUACGGACAAGGGAGUCGCUUGGAACCCAUUCUGGAAGAAACACCACGAACUCUCGUUCCCUGUAGCGAGCCACCAGAAAGUCCAUGGGGAAGCCUCCGAAACGGUUGGCUAGACCGUUGGCAAUAGUGUCUUGAGCAAAGUGGCCAAGAUUCGCAGGGAGGAUGACAUCCACAAGGAGUGCAUUGCGGCGCUUGUUCUGCCGAGCAAAGAAGUCUUCUGUCUCCGAAACAAAGACGUUCAGGUAAGCUGGGCGAGCGCGCAUGUAGCGGUAGACGUCCAUCGGGAGGCGAUCCAUGCAGCUCCGCGCCUUGUGACCCGUUUUGAGGCACAGGGCGCACCGCAAAGGCUCUCGGCAAGCGGCUGCUCUGUGGUUCCGUCCCACGCACCGGAAACACCGGUCCUUGAAAGAGUGAGAAUCAAACUUGGGGGGAGUGUUGCGAAAAGUGUUACGAAGAGGUGGUGGAGGGUGGCGCGAAGGGAGUGAAGCACGGGAGCGAUGCGCCGGAGCGAAGCGCAGAGGUGGCGGCGGAGGGUUGCGCGAGGGAGCGUUGCGCAGAGGUGAUGGAGAGUUGCGUGAAGAGGAGGGUGGGGCAGCGGAGAGGAGGGCCUCUUUGUAGGACGGGUUGCCAGGAGAAGUGAGGCGUCCGUUCCUUUUAUAAUGCACUUCGGUCCAAGGCUGAUCCGCAGGCACUCCUUUGCCGUCGGUGUCCUUUACAGCUGGAGCAGGAGCACUAGGGGCAGGAGCGCUAGGGGAGUCAUCCUUGCUGAAGAAGGUAACCUGAGCCAGGUCCAGUCCAGCUGAGUCCGCCCAGAUCACCUUCUUCGCUAAGGAACGAUCAUUAAUGCUGGAGCUUGAGGGGUGGGUGGUUGCCAUAACUCCAUUGCCCAGAUGAUGUUUAAGCUCCUGAAACCUCCGCUCCAAGUCAUUACUCAGUCCAGAUGAAAUGACAUUCACUGCUCCAGAUCGCUCGAUCGACCGAUGCCGAGGAUCCCCCAGCUGACUGGGACAGGGGGCCGCCGUCUUCCCGAUCACCGUCGUGCUUGUUGUCUUGGCCGUCGUGCCUGUUGUCUUGGCCGCCGUCUUCCCUGUCGCCGUGGUCGCCGUCUUCCUAGUCGUCUUGAUCGGCGUACAGGCGACCGCCUUCCCCUUCUCUCUCUCUCUCUCUCUCUCUGUAUUAGCUAAAAAAAUAUUAAACACAUGCAUGUAUUAUAAUGUAGUUAAAACUUAUAUGCAACAAGUCCAAAAUAGUAUAAUGAAAAGAUAAGUAUCAUUUUUUUUUUUUUUUUUGCUUUAACUUUUGAUGGUCAAGUAUUUUACUGGAUUCAAAUUCGGGUCAAGAUCUAGAUAUGAAAACUAGUCCGAACUUUACCCACCAAAAGAAUGGGUCCGGAUUGGAUCGAAAUUGGAUAGGGUAUAAGAUAUUCGGACCAAUAACCAAAACUUAAACGGAUACUUUUUUUACCCCACAUACUACCCACUUUUAACCAGUCCGAAUCGGAUCCGGAUAGGAUCUGGAUCGGCUCGAGAAUAUUGGAAAUUUUGGGCAUCUCUAAAGCUUAUAGACUAAAGUAAGCCAGUAAAAAUUUGCACCAAAAUGUCACCAUAAAAUACUCCCCCACUUCACUUUGUUGACUAGGGUGCUUAAUUAAUUUUCCAAGAUGACUUGACUCCAUCAGUGUGGAAAAGCUCGGAGCAAAUUUAAUAAAGAGACAAUUAUCUGUAUAUCCCUGCAAAAUUCUCACCAUGCAGUCCUUAAAAACAUCUGUUUCUUAAUUACAUCUUUUUAAAAUCUCUUUUUUUUUUUUAUAAAAUAAUUCAAAUUUGUGGAUCGGAUUGGGUCUGGUUAAUUAAUAUACUAAACCCGUACCCGAAAAAAAAAAUAUAAAAAAAAUAUACCCAUUCUUUUCAACUUUAGAGCGGGUCCGAAUCUAAAUACUUAAGUUCCUACUGCACUCAUUAAAUUUAUUUGACUGGAUUUAGAUAGUUACUAUCCUGUAUACAAUCCACUUCAAGAUCCGAUAAGGGCUGGAGCUAGAUCAAAUACAGAUAUCUGUAUGUGUGUCUAUGUCAUCAAGAACAACUAUACGUUACAUGAUAAGUGCAAAACAAAAAUUAAAAAUUAAAAAUAGUUACACAUAUAUUAAUUACCCUAAAACACAUACAAUUAACCACCACCUCAAAUUGAUACAACAACAUAAUAAUUAAAAAUGUAAUGAUAAACCCAAAGACAUAUAACAUAAUUAUGUAAAACACAUACAGCUUGUCAUAUAGCACACACUGUAAGUCCAAAGCACAUGCACUUUUUGUAAUGUAAUUAAAACUCAUAUGUAGUAAGUCUGAAACUGUCUAAUGAAAAGAUAAGUAUCAAUUUUUAAAAUUUUCAUAAGUUUUUCAAUUUCUUUUCCUUGCUUUAACUUUUGAUGUUUGGGUAUUUUAUAGGAGGCCCAGGUCUAGAUCAGGAUAAUGAUACGAAAACUAUAUUGGACCCCACCCACCAAAGGAAUGGAUCCGGAUUGGAUUCAAGUCGAGUAGAGUAUGAUAUAUUCAGACCAAUAACCAAAACUUAAAAGAGUAAUUUUUUAUCUUUAUAUUAUCUAUUUUUAAUCAGGUUCAAAUCAGACCUGAAAAAAAGUCAGGAUCGGAUUUAAAAUAUUGGGUAUUUUGGACACCUCUCCGUAACAUAUAUAAUUACUAAAUACUUAUAGGUCAAUACAAAGCUGUACCAAAAUGUCACCAUAAAAUACUCCCCACUUUGUUGACGUGGGUGUUUAAUUUCCAAGAUGACUUGUGAGUUCAAUAUGGAAAAAAGUGGAGAACUAAUUUAAUAAGGAGGCAAUUAUCUAUGUAUCCCUAUAAAAUUCUCGUCUUUUAUAUGUAGCCUCGACAAACAUCUGUUCUUAAAUUUAUCUUUCCAAAGUCUCAUAUUUGUUUGAAAAACUCAAAUUCGUGGAUUGGGUCGGAUCUCGAUAGUUAAUAUAUUGUAUUCAUGUCACGCCCCGAAUUACUCGUUUCUCCGGACUCGCUAACAGACCCGCCGUAUAUAUAGAUAUUUUUCUUGUAUACGAAGCGAAAAAGUAGAAGUACCUGUAAUCAUUCAAUACCACAAACAGUAAUAUAGAGCAGCUAGGAAAAUAAACCAAAUAUAUAAACUAUGGUUCAAUACAUACAUGUCAUCCAGGUAUAGAAACACUCGCUCUGGCGAGAUACAACAACUGUAUGUAAAGACCCAAAAACUACAACUACCUGUAGCUGGUACUCCUCUAGCUCUGCGACUCGUCUGGAAGGGCUCUAACUCGCAACGCCCUUGCCACGAUCAGUUUCGAUAGAAGCAGCAGCCGGGACAGAAGGCUCUGCAAAAAUAGGGUAACAAUUGGGCGUGAGAACUACUACAAACAGAAGUAGUUCUCAGUGGGUACCGCCCUCGAACUCAUCGCUCCACCCACUAAGUCUACAGGAGUAAGCAGGAAUAGUAAAGAAAGCUGGAAUAAAUUUACAGCUAAAUGGCACUACACUAUCAUGCUCCAACUCUACCCUCUGUAGAACAAUGUCAUCUCAGACCCAAUCUCAAUAAGGACUGUAAUCAUAUCUGUCCUUCGGACUGUGAACACAUCUAUCCCGCCCGGUUGCGACUAUCCAGCUACCUCCACACUAAUCAGUCCGUGGAGAGCAAGUCCAACCUGCACGAACGACACCAACGCAAAAGCACAAAGCCUGACUCCGGAGUGGCACUCAUGGGCGCUACCCAAUCGAGUAUGCAAGCAUAUCUCUGUCGAGCUCAAUCAGGCUCUCACAAGCUAACGUCAAGUAGACAGGGUCAAACAGGUCUAGAAACCAAACCCACGUGCCCUCGGAACAAUCUGAGACCAAAAACAGGAAUUUGGGUCCACCGUCCACCCCGACGGCACCCGACAACCCGAAACAGCCUAGAUUCUACUGUAAAAAUAAGCUCGGCAUCCCAGCACGAGCGUAAAUGUAUUCUAAACUACCCCGGGUAUCCACCGCGCUGAAACAGCAGUGAUACAAUCAAACCACGGCUCCUAGAGCUAAAUCAGGUAGUAGAAUCAUAUGACAAGUCGAAUCGCUGGUUUUCUCCUAAGUCAAGUUCCAAGUCCAACAUGUAUAUUCAACUAAUUACUAUUCAUGCUCCAAAUUCAGAUUUCAUACAUUAUACCAAUCGAUGAAUUUGAGCUACAACAUGAUAUUCCGAAUUCGAAACUAUACAUGUUUACUAUACAUAUACUUAGGAGCAAAAUCGAUGAUAAACCCACCUCUAGUGCAAUUUUCUGGCAGCAAAGAAGGGUUCCGAACCAAAGCUAAUCCCUGUUGGAUCAACCGAAAUCCUCUAAGACCAGAAAUCAAGUUAUCUCUAAACUCUACACACUGAAUUCCAUUAAUUAUCACUAUUUCAGCACUAAAGCUUAAUUUAAUCUCAAUUGUAAUGUCAAAACUCACCUAAUUACCUUCAAAUCAGGUGAGGAAGGUCUCAAAUCUAGUGAAUAAUAAUGGAGAAUGUGUCUCAGGUCCAAAAUCCCACUGCCUACAAAAAUAGUAUCAAGAAAAGCUCAAAAAUCUCAUUUUCAGUUCAAUGUUGCAAGCAGUCCAGAAAUACAUGUAAACGACUAAGCUAACCUCAACCAAAACCCACAAUUUAGGAUUUCGUGGAUUUCUCUAGAAGUCUAGAAUCCAGCAAACCAAGUUUCACCGCAAUCCGACCUUCCUACGUCGCACACGAGCCAAAACACCGAAGGUCGUUGCUGGAAAACUGCAGAAUCAGCACUCCACCACCUUCCAAUUGAAAGAUUGGAGCAAAUUGAGGAAAUCAGAGGGUUAGAAAUGCAAUUUGAGACUUCUCUGUGAAGAACAGGUGAAAAGAACUCACUGGAGUCAAACACCACCUAUUUAUAGGGUGUUAGAAUGGUCCCAUAAGCCUCAGGAACAACAGUUGCAAACCUGCAACUCAGCAGAAACGGGCACUUCCGGGCGCCCGGACCCACAUUAUGGGCGCCCGAAUCCUCCAGGCUACACAAGGCUUCCUCCUCGGAGUCUCCGCCCGCGGUGUGCUACGCCUAUAUCCGGCUCCGGCGGACCUCGCCUACUACCAGUCACGUGUCAGCGCAAACGAUACUCACGAUGUGAACUUUCGGACCCACAUCCGGGCGCCCAAAACAUGGACCCGAAUUGGCUUCCAGUUCUGCUCAGUUCUGCACUCAAUUUCUGAGCGACCCAAAGCCAGUUCUGAGCGCCCGAAUCCGGCAAAACUCCAGUUUUGCUUAUUUGAAUGCGCCGAAUCCAUUUUUGCAUCCAUUUCGCAUAGAAAUAACUCCGACUCAGUCCGACACUCUUCAGAUGUGUCGACCAGUCACUAACACUGAAGCCAAUCCUAUCCAAAUCUCAGAAAUACUACAAUUUGUAUCCUAAAAAAAUAUAUAUAAUAUAUAUAUCUAUACUAUAUACAAAAUCAUAUAUUUUGAAUUUUAGUAUGAGGCUCAUUUUUUAGUAAGAAAAGGAUUUUGGUUCACUUUUCUUUUCUUAUGCAAAUAAAUAACAUAAUCAAACAAAAUUUUUUAUUUCUUCUUUUUUCCUCUAUCGGAUAUUUUUUUCCUAUUUUUAUUUAAAUAUGCCGGUCUCAUUUCAUUCCUUUUCUUCUUAAGUGAAUAUUUUCAGAUUAUUUUAAUAUUAUCUAGAAAUAUUUAGUUGUUAUGUUAACUUUUUAUUGAUUCCAACUAACAAUCAAAUUUGAAAUUAAUUUUAAAUAUAUAUUUAAAUUUUAAUCAUAUAUAAUUUAAAUUUAAAUUUAUAAAAUUUUAAAAAUAAAAUUAAAAUUUAAGUUUAAAUUGUGAAUUAGAUUUUAUUUUGAAAAUCAAAUUUGAAUUAACAAUUAAAAAUUUUAAUUAAAUUGGAUCAAAAUUUAAAUUUAAAUUUUGAGUAAAAUGUGAGUUAAAAAUUUGAUAUUUUUAGUUUAAAACACAUCUUAAAGUUUGGGUUAGUUAGAAUUUGAAAAAUAUAAAAAAUAUUCAACGUAUAUAUAUACAAAAAUUAAAUUAUAUAGUUAUUACUGCAAGCAACUAUGUAAAUUUGAGUUAGGAUAAAAAUAUAGUGGUUAAAAGAAUUAAAUUAUUAUUAUAAUUUUUGGAUAAAUAUGAUGUAUUUGCACGUACACUCAACUAGCGUAUGCGUAUACAUUUGGGCGUAUGCUCAACUAGAAUGAUAUUAGUAACAAAUGAGCUUUAUUGUCACCCAUUUGUUUUCGAUGAUAGAGCAUCCAAAUCGACGAUUGGCACCGUUGAACAUGAUCUAUGUCACUUGAACAUCUAAAAACUAAAUUUUAUAUUUUUUCGAUAUUAUUCUCGUCUAUCAAGUAGACACAAAAAUAAACGACUGAAAAUGAAUAUGCUUUAAAAAGUGAUGAUAGGAGCAUUGUAAUUAAGAUCAAGAGUAUAGAUCUUAUUCUAAAUAAUUUUAAUUUCUUUCUGACCAAAAUUCAAUUGAUUUGAAUAUCUUUGCGCCAUUAAACGAGAAAAUAUUUGAUAUCAAAUAUUAAAAUUAUAAAUUUUGAAACUCUUUGAUCAUUAGGUCAAUGAUGUUGAAAAUAUUUGAAAUAUGAUUUUUAAAUCUUCAAAUGGUAUAAAUCAUGUUCAACGAUACCGAUCGUCAAUUUGGAGGUUCUAUCAUUGAAAAUAAAUUGAUGGCAAUGGAGCUCGAUUGCUACUUAGCAUUCCGGCUCAACUCUCUCUCUCUCUCUAUAUAUACGCCUAUCGACUCUAGAGUAGAGUCCAAAUCUAAGUACUUAAGUUACGAAUGCACCUAUUGAUUGAGCAAAUCUUGAUAGUGAUUAAAUGUAUACUACCCACUCAAAGAUAGGAUAUGAAUCAGAUACGGUCGGGUCUAGAUCGAGCGCGGAUAUCCGUAUAUGUAUUUAUGACAUAAAGCACAAAUAUUUAUUACAUGAUAACUACAAAACAAAAAUAUAUAAUUUACAAUAGUUACACAUAUUAGUUAUUGUAAAACACAUACAACCACCACCUUAAAAAACUAUGACAACAUAACAGUUAAAAUUAUAUUUGAUAAAUCCAAAAACAAAUAACAAAAUUAUGUAAAAUACAUACAACUAGUCAUACAACAUACAUCAUUAGUCCAAAAUACAUGCACUUAUUGCAAUGUAGUUGAAACUCGUACACAAUAAGCCCGAAAUAAUACAGUGAAAAAAUAAGUAUCAAGUUUUUUAAUUUUACGAACUUUUUAAUUUUUUUUUCUCUUUCUUUUAACUUUUGAUGAUUGGAUAUUUUAUCGAACAGGGUCCAAGCCAAGAUCCAGAUAUGAAAACCAUUACGGACCAUACCCACCAAAAGAACGGGCCCUAAUGGGGUCCAAGUUAGGUAAUCUAUACAUAUAAUAAAAGUCGAACCCUAAACCCGCCACGCGUCGCCUCCCCAGCGACCCCCCCGCCUCCUCAGCUCUGCCCGCUUCCUUCGCUGGCGACGAGCGGCGUCACGUGCCUCCCGUCCCGUGUCUCUCCGAGUCGUUCUCUCUCCGAGCCGGGCCCCAUCCCCUCUCCCUGUCGGAUGCUUGUCGGGCCCUAUGCUGACCUUCUCCUGCGGCCGACGUACGCCCGUUACAUCUCUGCGUCAGGUUUGGCCGGUGUGCGGCUGUGGUUGCGGUAUCUCUUCUCUUUGCUCCCCAUGUGCAUCCUAAUUCUCCUGUCUCUGCAACUCUUUCUUCUCUUUGCUCCCCAUGUGCAUCCUAAUUCUCCUGUCUCUGCAACUCUUUCCUCUAAUCCCUUCUUCCGUCUCCGGCGCCGCCGGAAGUGGGUGGGGUUCCUCUCUCAACCCGGGCCUCUGCCAGGAUUUGUAUAUAAGAUGUCCGAACCAACAACUGAAAUUUAAAUGGGUAAUUUUUUUCACCCAUCUACUAUCUACUUUUAAUCUAUUACGGAUAGCGUCCGAAUUAGGGAUGCAAACGGGGCGGAUCUGGGGGCGGGAGACUAGCAAAAAUCCGCCCCGCCUCCCGCCCCGAAUCCGUGACGGGUUAAAAAAUACAUCCCAUAAUCCGGCCCGCCUCGUAACCUGCCUCCCCCCGGCGCCCAGAAUCCGCCCCGCCAACUAAUAUUUUUUAUAAAAUUAUAAUAUUAUUAAUAUUUUGUAAAAUAUAAAUUAAUAAUUUUUAAUAAUAUUAUAUAUAUAAUUUAACAAUAUUAAUGGUAAAAAUUAAAAAUAUCAAUCACAAUUCAAAACAAAAUUCAAAUAUUUCAAAUACAUUAGAAAUGAGAGUAAUAACUUAUUUGUAUUUUAAACUUUUUUUAUAAAUAUAUUAUUUUUUGNGUGUUUGAAUCAUGUCCAAAAUAUCGAAUAUUUUAGACAUCUCUAGUUUAUAUAGUUACUAAAAGCUUAUAGACUAAGGUCAAUGUGGGUAUUUGGACCAACUUUUGAAAAGUAAUUUUGGACCUAAAAAUAAUUUUCGGCUUAAUAGAAUAUUUGUUUGUCUCGUUUUUUCAAAAUCGGAUUUUGAAUUUUUAAAAUCAAUUUUUUGAUUUUCGAGAUCCAAAAUAGAGCAGCUAAACUUAUUUCUUCAAAUCUGAUUCUGAUUUUGAAUUCAAAAUUCAAAAUUUUAUUUUAAUUUUAAAUACAAAUUUUAUAUUUAAAAUUUGAAAUUUUAGAAUUUAUAAUUAAAAUUUAAAAUUAUAAAUUUUAAUUUUCAAAUUACAAAUUUCAAAAUUUUAAAAUUCGUAAUUUAAAUUUUUAAAUAUUAAUUUUGCAUUUAAAUUUUAAAUAUUUAAUUUUAAAAUUUCUAAUUUAGAUUUUAAAUUGAAACUGAAAACUAAAACUUAGAUUUAAAAAUUCUAAUUUUAAAUUUUAAAUUUUCAAAUUUUAAAUUUAUAUUUUAAAUUAAAAUAUCAAAUUUUUAAAUUUUUGUGCACUUUUUAAAUUUAAAUUUUAAAUUUAAAUUAAUUUUAAAAUAAAAUUAGGUCUAAAAAAAUUUAUGGGCAACAUCAAAUUUUUUUUUAUCAAAUAGUUUACAAAAUCACUUCAGAAAAAUUAUUUUCAAUCUAAAUUCAGCAAUAACUCUUAUAAAUUGUUUUAAACCAAAUCAAUUCUCCAAAUUAAAUUAACUUCAUACAAUAUAAUUUUUUUUUAGAUCUGGGCCAAAUAGGCCUAAAUCAAGCAUUUAAUAACUAAGCAAAUUUGGCAACCCUCCCGGUUCUUCCACAAAAGCUCGAACAGCACCUCUCGACGAUACAAUGGAAAAUCCAUCCCCAAACCAACCCCAAAAAGUUACAAAUUACAACAACUCUCCCACCACAAAUCCCAAAAUCUUUGUUUUUAACUACUUUUUCUUUCUUUUUUUUUUUUUGUUUUCCGUUGUUUUAAUGCCGUUUAUUUCGGUGUAUUGUACAGGGUUGCUCUGGUGACGGGGCACACAAGGGGAUCGGCUUAGAGAUUUGUCGCGCGUUAUUAUCGUCCCCCGCGGGGUGACGGUCGUUCUAACGGCCAGAGACGAGGGGAAGGGCGUGGCGGCGUUCAGAAGCUUCGAGUUUCGGGAGCGACGACGGCGUGUUCUUCCACAACUGGAUGUCGCCGACUCUUCCAGCGUUGCAUGUUUGGCCGAUUUCGUGCACGCCAAUUCGGAAAAACUCGUAUUUUGGUGAGAACUUUUGUUUAUAUAUAUAAUAUUAUAAAUAUAUAUUAAUAUAUUGUAGCGAAUAAUUUUAUUUUAUUUUAUUUUAUUUUAUUUUAUUUUUUAGCUCAAGGCAAAUUUUCUUACUUUUCUGUUUCUUCACCUCGGUGUAAUUGAUAUUACUAUAUUAGUAUAUAAUUCUUUGUAUGACAUACUGACCUCAAUUUAUAUCUAGUUAGUGCUUUACUGCUACAAUGAAGUUUUACAACUGUGUGAUGUUUAAACAUGAUUAUUCUUAAAGCCUUUGGUUCUAUAUUGGCUCUUGCUUCUACAUAUGAUGUUAUUACAUUUGGUCCCUUCAAAAAAAAAAAAAAAAAACACAAGAAGAAAGGUUGUUACAUUUGGUAUACUUUUAGUGUGUUAUAUGAUUUUGACUUGAUCCCUCUGUUUGCAGGUAAACAAUGCCGGAGUUCUCGGAAGGGCAUCGGAGACUCAAGGAGUAAGUUCAUCAAUUCGUGUUGUAUAAAUACUCCAAAACAACGUUAAACAUUGCCGAUGACUUAAUCAGCUACGUUAGUGGUACAAUUAUUUGUAACAUGUGAUUUCUUGUUCUCUGCUACUAAUUUUAGUUUCUCUCAUGAGCCAGUUGGCUGGAGAGUCGACCAAUUCCUUACCAGCUGGAGAGACUUAUGAAAAGGCAGAAGAAUGUUUGGAAACAAACUACUACGGAACUAAGAGGGUAACAGAAGCACUAAUCCCUCUUCUUUUGAAAUCCCAGUCACCACGGAUCGUGAAUAUUUCCUCUUAUUAUGGCAAACUACAGGUGUGAGUUGACAUAAAAGUGUUUUCCUACUUGUACUUAUCCUUAAUCUCGCUCUACUAUUCUGACAUAUAGAUAUCUUUCAAAAUCCAUUUCAGCGAAUCCCCAAUGAGGGCAUUCGGAAAGAAAUUGGCGACAUCGAUAGCUUGACCGAAGAGAAAAUCGAUGAGAUGGUGCGAUCCUUUCUGAAUGAUUUCAAGGAAGGGAAAUUGAGAACAAAUAACUGGCCGGCUAGGUUGUCGGCUUACACUGUGUCUAAAGUGGCGAUGAGUGCAUAUACAAGAAUUAUUGCGAAGAAGUAUCCCACCAUUUGUAUAAACUGCGUUCAGCCAGGCUACGUGAAGACGGACUUGAAUGCGAAUUCGGGUAUAUUGUCGGUUGAAGAAGGCGCGGAGGGACCUGUAAUGUUGGCUUUGCUUCCUGACGGUAGCCCUUCAGGGCUAUUUUAUGAUCAGACCAAAGAAUCAUCCUUUGUAGCGUAAUGCCGUAAUCAUUUCCAAUCAAACAUGAGAUUAUGAGGUUCCGUUCUCUAAACUUCUUUGGGUCUUUGUUGAUCUUUGUAUCUUAUUUAUACUUUAUAAAUAAAUUUACACCUGUUUAAUGCAAUUGAUAUGAUCAAAAGUUGAUAUUGCAUAUCUCAUCUCAGUACAAUAUGUUAUUUCAUAUGGUUUCUCUCGACUUUUUCUACUGUAAGAUGAAUUAAUUUUCCUUGUCAUUAAGGUAUGGAAAAGUAUGUACAGAGAACCCUAAACUUAAGCUCUUUUGCAAACCAGCGCCUGAACUUCUAAUUUUGGCCAUUAAUGUCCUUAACUUUUAUCAAAUAAUUCAACGGGUCUCUUUUCUCGAUCUUAUACUUUCAUUUCAAGCUGAGUAAUAUCACAUAUGUCACAUUUCCGCAACUUCUAGUUAUUGCAAAAGCUCAAACACUGAAUAUUUUUGUUCCAUAUAUCCACUUAGCUAUAUGGAUGAUGACUUGGUUUUGAAUAAAUUUUCUUUCAAUGCUUUAUUAUACCCUACCCAUCUCUCUCAGAAAAAAAAAAAAUGAAGAAAUUUUAGAAGGUAGCUGGAGACCAAAAAAACUAUAUGAAGAGUAGCUUUAGGUUCGAGUUUUGACAGAAGUCACUUUCUUCGCUCUUGCUGUGGUUCAAGUUUUGACAGAAGUCACUUUACUCCUGCUGUCGGUGCCUCGGGUGGUAUUAUCACAUGUUGGAACUCCAAAAUUUUCGUCUGUAUGGAGGUGUUGGUGCGCGAUCACUCGCUAACCAUCAACUUGAAACAUGUCACAAGCGGAACGAGCUUCUACCUGUCAAACGUAUAUGGACCGCCAACAUGGGAUGGGAAAGAAGAGUUUUGUUCUGAACUCCUAGCUCUUCGUGGGGUUUGUUCCAACAGUAAAUGGGUGAUUUGCGGGGAUUUUAACUUUACUAGAAACCAGACAGAACGCACGGGAAAACGGUGGAGCACAAAAGCGAUGUUCAUGUUCUCUGAUCUUAUUUCUAAUCUCGAAGUCAUUGACAUCCCUAUUUCCAACCAAAAUUUUACUUGGUCUAAUAUGCAAAGCUCGCCAACCCUGGCCAAGCUGGACAGAUUUCUCGUCUCGACGGAGUGGGAUCAAGCGUUCCCGCACUGUAGGGUUUCUGCGUUAUCAAGAAUCACGUCCGAUCACACCCCGCUAAUCCUUGCUACUGGGAGUAAUCCCACUCCGCGGCGAUUUCGGUUUGAGAGAGUAUGGCUUACCAGGGAGGACUUCUUACAUAAUGUACCCAUUUGGUGGAAUGAAAUAUCUAGCGAGAGGUCUGCAAUACUCACUUUAACAGCAAAAGUAAGGCACUGCAGGAAUAGAAUAAAAGAAUGGUGUAAGACGAAAUUUCACAGUAUUACCAACGCAAUUAGGUGUUUAAAGGAGGAUAUUAGAAGCAUCGACCUUUUAGAGGAACGAAAUACGUUGACACAAGAUGCGCGGGAUAAACGGGUAGAUCUUAAAGCACAACUCCAACUUAUCUUGCAGGAGGAAGAAAUCCUCUGGAAAACGAGAGCAAAACAGCAUUGGCUUAAGGAAGGGAAUAGUAACACAAAGUUCUUUCAUGCUGUUGCCAACGGUCGGAAGCGCACCAAUGAGAUAUUGUAUAUUGAAGGUGAGUCAGGAAGUUAAAUUAGAAAUGAAGCUCAAAAGAAAUCCGUUUUCUUUCACUCCUUCAAACGUCGGUUUGGGAACGUAGAAGAGGAGCCGUCUUCUUUUGGCGAUUGGGCCGACUUGUACCGAGCGAACGCCUUACCGGACUCGGACUUGCUCUCGGCACCAUUUAAUUUGGAUGAAGUCAAAAAAGCGACCUUCCAACUGGGUAGUGAUAAGGCACCUGGUCCCGACGGAUUUCCGCUUAUCUUUUUCCAACAGUUCUGGGAGACAGUUAAGGAAAACAUAUUUGAUAUUUUCAAAGAUCUUCAGGAGUCCGACCUCUGCACAGCGCCAGUGGAUUACUCUUACGUAUGUUUAAUUCCCAAAAAGGAAGGAGCUUGCCGGGUCGACGAUUUUCGACCGAUUUCCCUUUUAAACGGUAUUCAAAAGAUUAUUUCGAAGGUGCUCGCAAACAGACUAGCGGAAGUGUUACCAUCUAUUAUCUCUACAUCUCAAUCGGCCUUUCUGAAAGAUCGACUACUAGCUGACUCUUUUGUCACUGCAACUGAACUAAUCAACUGGUGCGCAAGAACUAAUAAGGAGUGCGUUAGUAUAAAGGUGGAUUUUGAGAAAGCCUACGAUAAAGUUAGUUGGAGGUUCUUGCUAAGUAUACUACGGUGGCUUGGGUUCAGCGACAAAUGGAGGUACUGGAUUGAACAAUGUAUCUGCAAUGCCAAAAUUGCCAUUUUAGUGAACGGUUCGCCGACAAAGUGGAUGAAAACAAGAAGGGGGUUGAGACAGGGGGACCCGCUGUCCCUCUAUCUAUUCCUACUUGUGGCCGACUGUUUGGCGAGGAUCACGGCAGUAGCAAGGGCUAAUAACUUGCUUCAAGGAAUUGGACCAACUGCCGAGUGUCAAACAGUGAUUCUGCAAUAUGUGGAUGACACUCUAUUCUUCUCGGAGCCCAAGAAGUCCGCCAUGCGUAACUUACGGUUCAUUUGGAAGUUGUUUGAAUGGGCCUCUGGGCUCAAGAUCAAUAUGAACAAGACUGAACUUUUUCACGUGGGAACCACAGCAAACAAAGCUAAAAGACUCGCAGAUAUUUUGGGGUGUAGAGUAGGCAAACUACCUUUUCGCUACUUGGGGUUGCCACUUAAUACAAAAUCCCUUCGAAAGGAUGAUUGGACUCCGAUCCUUAACCGCAUCGAGACGCACAUUGAUGGAUGGAAGGCAAAACUCCUCUCUCACGGGAGGAGACUCAUCCUGGUCAAUUCGGUACUUUCAAAUCUUCCGUUAUUCUACUUUGCAAUAUUCAAGGUGCCGCAGUGGGUACUGAAUCGCAUUGAAGCUCUCAGAAGAGCCUUCUUUUGGAAAGGGUGCUCGAAAAUUUCAGGGGGGGCUUGCCUCGUCGGAUGGAAAACGAUAUGUAAAAGCAGAAAAGAAGGAGGUCUGGGGAUUAAGGAUAUGCAAGCUAUGAAUAAAGCUCUUUUAGCCAAAUGGUGGUGGCGUUUCUUCAAUGAGAGGCAUCUGUUAUGGGGGAGGUUAAUCACCGCUUUAUAUUAUACUAGAAGGAGGCCGUUACAUGAGGGAAAAUCCUUCAGACCUUACUCCCAGUGGUGGAGAAAUGUGAUGAGCUGUCAAGGAAUGUUCAAAUGUGGUCUUACUUACGCACUUGGUGACGGAAAAAUCAUUAGGUGGUGGUCGGACAUUUGGAUCGAUGAAAUCCCUCUUAGUAUCAGAUUUCCUGGAAUUUCUGCAGAGCUGCAAAUCAGGAAGCCACGGUCUCACAAUGCUGGAAUGAAAGAGGAUGGAGAUGGCGUUUCAUAACUAGAGGUUUGGCGGCAAGUUCCACUUCCCUUAUCCGUCAUCAGACUACGCUGCUCAAAACCCUACUAGCUCAGUAUAGCCCUUCGAACAUACACGACAAACCAAAGUGGAGAUGGACCAAGAACCAAAUUUUUACAGUUAAGUCCCUUUACGAUUUUAUCACCGACGGAGGACAGAUUAAUCCUUUGUACGAUAAUCUUUGGGGGCUUAGAAUCCCGCUCAAGCACAAAGUUUUCGUUUGGAUCCUCCUUCGAAAAAGAUUACCCACAGCGGACAGAUUGAUACGCCGAGGAUGCCCUGUAGACCAGCUUUGCAAGUUCUGUGCGUUCUUUUCCAAAACCUGCGAUCACCUUUUCCAGGAUUGUAUCUUUGUCAGAUAUCUUCUAAUUACAGUAGGUGCUGUUAUGCCAGCUGAUUCGGACGCGGGGAAUGUUCGGGGGCUUUGGACACAGAUCUCCGAGAAUCCAGAUGCCGAAGUUAGAUCGAAAUGUUUAACCCAUUUGGCGGCAAUCUGGUGGGUCGUCUGGACGGAGAGAAAUGGUAUUUGUUUCCGCGAUGUGACUCAUAACGCUUUCUGGGCUUCCGAACGCGUCGCUUCGUUGAUCAGAGCUUGGAACGAAGCACUCUGAACCAUCCCGGGUUUUUUCAUCCGCUGCUCUAAGCACAUUUGUUGUCCCGUUUUGUUGGUUUUUCUAUGUUUUAUUUGUGUUCCUUUUUUGUUUUCUUUCAGUUUUUCCUCUGUCGCCGAUUCGAUCUGGAGGCCCUAGCUGCUUCCAUCAUGUAUGCUAAAUUCAUUUUGCUUAAUGAAUGAAGCAGGUAGCUUGCUAUCUAUUUCUCAAAAAAAAAAAAGAAAAAAAAAAGAGUAGCUUUACAAAUGACAAAUUUUUGGCAGCAUAUAGAAAAGAGAAUUCUGCUUUUUUAUUUUUAUCGAAGUUGAUUAACUUACAGAUCAGUGCAUUUUAGCCAUCAAUUGUGUUUAUUUUUGACAUCGUUUUCUUAAGCCUUGCGAAGUAUACUCUAAAGGUUACAUAGAGACUAUCAUACAAGCUAUCUACAUAUUGGAACCACCAAAUCCUAAAUCCUUUAUUUACCAAUAGAACUCCAGUAAUAGUCCAAAACCCAACGGCAAAUCCUGCUAUUGUAAUAAGGCAAAGGAGUAAGAUCUCUUUUCGAUUUUUGUCUUCAUUUUCUGAAACAUUAGUUGGAGUUUGACUUGACUGGCCAAUUGUCGGGCCUUCAGCUUCGCCUUCAUUGCCUGUGCAACUCACAUUUAUUUGGAAUCCGCAAAGAUAUUGGUUUCCGACGUAUAUUUUAGGGUCCACGAAUGUGUCCAUUUGCUUCCCGGUCGGAAUUAUUCCUGAGAAGUUGUUGUAAGAUAAGUCCAAGAAGUCCAAGAAGCUUAAGUUGGACAAGCUAGAAGGAAUUGCUCCUGAUAACUUGUUUCUCGACAAGUUAAGAUAUUCUAGCUGCAUCAUAUCACCGAUCUUGGAUGGUACUUGUCCCGUUAGAUCAUUACUCGACAAGUCGAAUAUCAACAAUCCGAGAAGAUUUGUUAGUUCAUCGGGUAUGCGUCCUGACAAGCUAUUCCUAGAGAGAUCCAAGAUCGUCAUCUGCGAAAGAAGAUUGCUACCAUAUUGAUCUUCUCUUCCUUUGAUGUCCAAUAUCAUAUUCUCCUCAUAGUUACCUAAUGAGAUGUUUAGCAUGUUGAAUUCAAGACGGGUCCUCAUGGAAAUGAAAUUGCCGAAGCUCAUUGGUAUUGACCCUGAAAGAUUGUUAUCUGAGAGGUCUAAGAUUUGGAGACCAGUAAGAUUAGAGAGUUCUGUUGGAAUUUCGCCGACAAACUUGUUUGAUUUCAAGCUAAGAAUCUUGAGAGAUGAGAGCUCUCCAAGCCAGGUCGGUAUCCUUCCUGUAAACAUGUUACCACCAAGAUCAAGAAUAUCUAGACUCUUACAGGUCUUUAAGGAUGAGGGAAGAUCUCCAGAUAACCUAUUAUUCCUUAGCUGCAAGUAUUGAAGCUGAGGCAAAUCGCAAAGCCAUUUAGGUAUUCCUCCGGAAAAAUAGUUGUUCGAAAGCUCCAAAACUAGUAAGGGAGUGGUGUAAUUCUCGCAGUUUGGGAGCUCUCCUGAUAAACGAUUGUUUGAAACUAAUACAGUGAUAAAUUGUGUAUUACAAAUGGACAAGGGGAUACUGCCACUUAUUUUGUUCAUAGACAAAGAAAGUUUGCCAAACAUAGGCAUUAGCUGGAAAAUAUCGUAAGGAAUAGGACCUGAGAAUGAAUUGUUUGACAAAUCCAGUAGUCCCGUGUUAGAUGGAAAAUUUGGCACUGGUCCCUCAAAGUGGUUGGAACUUAAAUCAAUUGUCAAAUCUGAAAUAUCACCGAAUUUUAUUAAGUUGGGUAUCACACCACGCAAGUCAUUGUUAGAGAGUGAAAGAGUGGAAAGUUGUAUCAUUGUGUUCCAAAACCAAUCUGGCACCAAAUCUGAAAUCCCUGUAGAAGAUAGAUUUAGCAAGUUCAGAUAUUUCUGCGUCUGGAGCCAUGAGGGGAAUUUGGGGCCUAAUUUACAGCCAGUCAUCCGUAAAUUAGUGAGUUGGAAAGGAGGAACCCAGUUGUAGCUCACAUUCACAUCCAAAGAGUUAAAACUCAAGUCCAUGUUAUCUAACCUUGUAAGAUUAUAAAAAUGAUGUUCUGAAAGAACUCCAACAAGAGAGUUGGAGCUAAGAUCCAAAGAUGUGAGCUCAUUAAGGUUGCCGAGACUUUCGGAAACAGUGCCAUUUAACUUAUUGUGAUUAAAAGAUAACUCCCGUAUUUUGGGUAGUUUACCAAGAGAGGCAGGGAUCGAACCAGAAAGCGAGUUUUCUGAAAGAUCAAGAAUACUUAGAUUGUUUAGGUUACCUAUCCAAUCCGGUAUGUUGCCGCUUAGAGAAGUGAAACUUAAAUCCAACUCUUGCAAACUAUUUUGGAGACACCCGGAAAACGACUCAACGAAUGUGUCUAAUUGAGAGUUAAUUGCGGAAUUUGUUAAAUCUAGCAUAUGAAGCUCACAGAGAUUGCUCAAACUAGAUGGUAUCCCGGCAUCAAGGUCGACAGACUCUAGUUCGAGAACCUUCAGCGAAGUCAAGUUUCCAAUUCCAGAUGGAAUGAGCUCAGUAAAUUUACUGAAACUGAGAUAAAGAUAUUGAAGGGAAGUAAUUCUAAACAACCAGUCGGGUAAGCUAGAAGUUACUUCGCUGUUAUUAGCAUGAUCAGAAAAUGAUGUGAAAGUAAGAUCCAAAAGGGAAAGAGAGGUAAAAUUGACAUGCGGGAGGGAUUGUGGAAAGUUAUCGAAUUUGCAGUACUGCAAACGAAUAUCUUGUACUAAGGGAAGCAUGUUCAACGCUUGUAGCCAAUUGGAUGCAUUCUCAAUAAAGAGAGUGCCCAUGUCAAUAUGAAGUAGAAAGGUGAGUUGCGAAAGCCAAUUAGCAUUACUCAAUGUAAGAUUAUUACCGGAAAGAUCGAGGGUUUGAAGUCUUGAUAGAUUUCCGAGCUGAGUGGGUACCAUCCCGCAAAAAUACGAAAAUGAGAGGCUGAGAUAGUUUAACUUUUGGAAAGAACCGAUCCACUGCGGAAUCGGUAUGCACGCAAAGUAAUUGCUGCUGAGAUCCAAAUAGCUCAGUUGCUUAAGACGGAGCAAAGAAGGAUUGAUUUUGUUGCCGACAAUCCCCCUCCCUUGAAGAUCUAUAUGCACGACAUGUCCGGUUCGGUUGUCGCACUCCACGCCUUCCCAUUUGCAGCAAUCAUUUCCCUCCCAAGAAGAGAAGAUAGCUGCAGUUUGGUUGAAAUCUCUGGCAAACUGCAGAAGUGCUUCUCUCUCGGCAUCUGGGCAAUUACUAUUAGAAGAUCUAAAUGCCACAGCGUAUGCAAACGAGAGGAACAGCAGCAAAGCUCUUACUAUUGCUUUGUAAUCCAUUCUCAGAUUUUUGUUAUUUAUAUGUAUGUUUUUUUCUUUUGUGCUGGCUUGUGUACCAAUUUAUGUAUGUAAAUACCUAGCUGGUUAGAAAGCUAGUAGGCUAAGAUGAGGUUAUUAAUUUCCAAAACGACUUUUCUUCUCACAAAUAGCUUUCGAGAUGACUUGACUUCAGUUGACUGGGAGUCUACAUUUGAAUUUAGAGAACUGCAAUUUAAGAGAAAUUUGAAAUAGUCAAGAUCUUGCUUUCGCAUUAAUUUCAUGAUUCAAUAAUAAAGUCAAGAUCCAUCACUCCUAUUCAUUUCAUGAAUCAAAUAUUAUUAAAAUAUUAUAGAGAUCUAGUAAUCCCUUACGUUAUCAAGAUAGUGACGAAUCCACAUAGUAUUUAAAACUGCGUGUAUUUUAAUUAGCUAAUAAAAUUUUAUAUGCCGACAAGACAACAACAUCAAUAAUUAUAUAUAAAAACAACAUUAUAUAUAAAAAAAUUGUGGUAGAAAUUAAUAUUAUUUGCAAUAUCUCGCAAACAUUUUCUUAAACUUUUAAACUUUGUCAACUAACCUUUAGAGCUUUUUUCUGAACUUUCAAAAUUUUUUUUUCUCGAUUAAACAGGGAUAUACUCUAUAUAUUUACAGGAAAGACCUCAGAGAAGGUCUAGGAAGCCAGGAGGGGUGCAAAAGAAAACAAAAGCGGACGAACGAUGGCUAAAAGAAGAAGUGAGCAAAACAAGAAGUGAACAAAAUCAAGAGAGGAGCCCUGGUCAACUCAGGAGCAGCGAUUUCCAUAGUUCCACCGAGUUCACGGCAUAUCUCCUGAGGUUGUCACUUUGGCAACAACGAUUGUCGAAAAUCCUUCUAUUCCUCUCAUUCCACACUUCCCAACAUGCUGCUGCGAAAUAGAAAUCAAUUUUAGUUUUGGCUGAUCCCGCUGCCUCGCGUCUUAUUAGUCUCCACCUUUGAGUUAAGUUUCCGGAUAGAGAGCUCGUGAAGUGCGUUGUUGUAAUACUAUUGUGUGGCAGCCCACUCCACAAGUGUCUUGCAUACGUACAUUGGAAUAAAAUAUGAUUCAAAGAUUCGCUGUUUAAGUUGCAAAGCACACAUAUCGAAGGCCCGUUCCAACCCUUUCUCUGUAGAACCUCGGCAGUGAGAACUUUGUUUCUCGCUGCUAACCAAAGGAAGAUCUUGAUUCUGAGCGGGAUCUUGGUAUUCCAAAUGAACGAUAAAUUAGAAUCUUUAAUUCUGUCGUACGUUAGGAAGUUGUAGGCACUCCGAACCGAAAAUUGUCCAGAGUUAGUCCACCUCCAUGUGGGCGUGUCCUCGCUGUGGUCCGAUUGCGUCCAGGUUUGUCACAAAUCCGAAAGCUUUAAUAGUUCCUCUUGCAUCCUGGGGCAAAGAGGUGACCUAAAGCCAAGGUUGGUGAGUGUUGCGAAGCGCCUCAUCCAGUUUGAUACUGAAAUCUGUUUAGAGCUCGAAGCGGCAUAAAGGUGAGUAAGGCAAUUUUUGAGAAGGAAGUCACCGCACCAUCUGGAAUUCAAGAAAGACACCACUUUGCCAUUGCCCAGGGCGAAAGAGGCCGAAGUGUGAAAAGGCGCAGCCAGAUUGAGAAUACCCCGCCAGAUUGGGCAGCUAUUAGCCGGUUUAGAGUUCGUAUUCGAUGGUAAUCUAUGUUUGUAAUGCUUCUGCAUCAGCAGCCUGACCCAGGGUGUUGAUUGGGAAGUAGAAUUUCCAAAGUGCUUUCUGAACUUUCAAUUUUAGUAACUAGGUCUCUUAAACUUAAUCAAAUAAUUUAAUUGGUUUUUCCUCAGAAUCACUGUCGACGCUAGAGCUGAGACUAUGCCAAGGCGCCGAUCUCCAGGUGGACCAGAGGAGGCGCCACCGCUGCGUACCCGACAGGGGCGGGCGGAGCUUGGGAAUGGAGGAGCUGUCACUGCGCCGCGCCGUCGACCGUCCGGCAGACGUGAGGAACCGCCCACGAUGCGCUCUCUGCGUAGUGGGCGCUGCACUCUUAGGAUGCCUGGGCGUGUGGGGACGGGCGAUCACCGCCGGUCGCCUGCGAACAGGCAGAGCACGUCGCCUGAUGCUGCUUUUUGGCCGCAGCGCCACCCUCAGCGUUCCCUGCAAUGUUCCCCGACUGCUCGGCGGCCGCCGGUGAGGGCACUAGGGUGGGUGAAGGCUGGCCGGACCGCGGGUCUCGCUUCGGGGCUGGUGAGAGCGUUGACCGAGGAGGGCCGUGUAGGGCGCGUCAUCCAAGGGCGCCGCCUGGGAGAGGGAGUGCGAAAUCCGGCGCUGUCACACUUUUGGGAUUCGAAGGGAUGGUUGUAGAUCACAGUACUCAGAGUCUUUCCCCAACCAUGCCAAUUUUUUUAAUGGCAGGGGCAGGUUGGGAUGGCAGUGUGUUGGGUAGGCCUUUAAUGCUCUGUAGGGGAGAUCGAGUGUAUCUGUGGGUUGGGGGAUCUUUUUCUAAAGUGGUGGUUAGCCUUUUCGGUCUGCGUGCCAACCUUGAGGAAUGGGUCUAUGAUGCUGGGGUCAACCAUGGUGCUUUGCCCGAUGGAAUGCAGGGAGGAGGCCACGACUCGAGUUGUGCGGUUGUGGACUUAAAUGCUCCGAGUCGCACCGAAUUGUUGACUGUGGACGAGGAUGAAGUUGAACGGGUCAAGGAAAUGAAGCUCAUUGGCUCGGUUCGGACACGGGCCCAAAUUGGGAAGGUGUUAACCUCGUCGUCAAAGAAUACUAAAACCACCCCUACUCGAUCCAGUGUGCGGCUCGCCUGCACUGAUAGAGUCCCAAUCCUUUGUAAAGCUCUAUCCAGAAAGAAGAGGCUCCUAGAAGGAGGAGGUGCCGAGGUCUCCGAGAGCACGGUGAGGAAGAUCGUGCAUAAGAGCGGCCGGUGCGGGGUGAGCUUGGACGGAACUGAGGCGAAGAAUUUCGCCGAGUUUGCGAGCUUUUGAGCUCAUGGAGGGGCGAGUGGACUACAUGGUGGACACCUUUUGGCUUUUUUUUGGGGAGUCGUGUCUACAUUAUGGUUAUGCUUAGUAUUUGUAGCUGGAAUGUUAGAGGGCUUAAUGAUCCCUCCAAACGGUUUAUGGUGCGUGAUGUUAUUUCGAAUUUACGUAACUCUGUAGUGUGCCUUCAGGAAUCUAAGGUUGACCGUGUAUCGAGGUCUUUUCUUCGUAGCUUAGCAGGAUCCUUCCUCGACAAAAGCGUUUUUCUUGAAUCUAACGGUGCAUCUGGUGGUCUGAUUACUUGUUGGAGUUCCCGAGUAUUUAAUUGCAAAGAAGUAAUUGUCAGAAAUUAUUCCAUCUCGGUUCUAUUGGAAAUGGUUAACUGCGGAACACGUUUUUUUGUCACAAAUGUCUACGGCCCAGCUUCUUGGGAUGGUAAGGAGGACUUCUUUUCGGAACUAUUGCUUUUGAAGGACUGCUGCAAGGGCAAAUGGGUGAUGUGCGGAGACUUUAACUGUACGCGAGGAGCGCAUGAGCGUAACGGAAAGAUCUGGAGCUCAAGAGCGACGGCCCUAUUUAACAAUCUCAUCUCGGACCUUGAACUAAUUGAUCUCCCAAUGACUAAUCAAUCCUUCACUUGGUCUAAUCUCCAGAAGCCCCCCACCUUGGCCAGACUGGACCGGUUUCUUGUUUCAACAGAGUGGGAUCAGAGUUUCCCUACUUCCAAGGUGACCGGGCUACCCAGAGUGGUCUCGGAUCACAGUCCCAUCCUUUUAUCGGUUUCCAACCCUUCGAAGAGGUCAAGAACGAUUUUCCGUUUCGAACCUACCUGGCUUAACCACGAGGACUUUAGGUCUAAGCUGCCAGGCUGGUGGGAAGAGGGCCGUAGGCACAAUUCAGCUGUUCUAACUUUCACUGAAAAAUUGAGACACUGCCGUAGAAGAAUUAAACAGUGGUGUGCCAACGAAUUCUAUAGCAUCAGACGAGUUAAGAACAAACUCUUGGGAGACAUCCAGAACAUCGAUAAAGAGGAAGAAGUGUAUCCUUUAACUCAGGAAUUAGCCGCUUUGAGGGAAGAGCUUAAGACCAAACUGGCCGGGGUGCUCAAGGACGAGGAAGCUCUAUGGAAAAGUAGAGCGAAACAACAUUGGCUACGGGAAGGCGACAGCAAUACCAAAUUCUUUCAUACUGUAGCCAACGGUCGCAGAAGAACGAACAGAAUUGACGCUCUAGAGGAAGAAGGAAGGGUGUAUCAAUCCGAGGGCGAGAAGCAAAAUUUACUUUUCCAGAAGUUCAAGAACCUUUUCACACCUGAAGAUUUUGCACCACACUCUUUCGGGGAUUGGAGUGAGCUCUUUACAACUAGGCGGGUCGAUACGAGCAACCUUGCGCAUANGAGGGAAACUGGGGGCCUAAUUUACAGCCACCAAAGUCCAAAUAAUCGAGUUGGAAAGGAGGAACCCAGUUGUAGGUCAGAUUCAAAACCAAGGAGUUGGAAUUCAGGUCCAUAUAAUCUAACUCUGUAAGAUUAGAAAAAUGAUAUUCUGAAAUAACUCCGACAAGAGAGUUGGAGCUAAGAUCCAAUGAUUUUACCUCACUAAGGUUUCCAAGACAUUCCGAAACAGUGCCAUUUAGCUUAUUUUUAUGCAAAUAUAACAUUUGUAAGGUGGAUAGUUUACAAAAAGAUGUGGGGAUCGAACCGGAAAGUGAGUUAAAUGAAAGAUCAAGAAUAUUUAGAUUGUUCAGGUCACCGAUCCAAUCUGGCAAGUUGCCACUUAGAGAAGUCAGACUUAAGUACAACUCUUGCAAACUGUUUUUGAGACACCCAGAAAAAGACGCUUCGAGUGCAUCUAAUUGGGAAUUAAUUGUGGAGUAUGAUAAAUCUAGCGUGCGAAGCUCACAGAGAUUGCUCAAACUAGACGGUAUCCCGGCAUCAAGGAUAACAUAUUCUAGUUGGAGAACCUUCAGAGAAGCCAAGCUUCCAAUUGCAGAUGGAAUGAGCUCUGUAAAUCCACUAAAAGUGAGAUAAAGAUAUUGAAGGGAAGUAAUUCUAAACAACCAGUCGGGUAAGCUAGGAUUUACUUCGCUGUUAUUAGAAUAAUCAUAGAAUGAUGCAUAAGAAAGAUCCAAAAGGGAAAGAGACGUAAAAUUUACAUGCGGGAGAGAUUGUGGAAAGUUACCGAAGGAGCAGAACUGCAAACGAAUAUCUUGUACUAAAGGAAGCAUGUUCAAUGCUUGCAGCCAAUUAGAUGCAUCGUCAAUCAUAAAAGAGCUCAUAUCAAUAUGAAGUAGAGAGGUGAGUCGAGAAAGCCAAUUCGCGUUGCUCAAUGUAAGCAGAUUAUCGGAAAGAUCGAGGAUUUGAAGCCUUGAGAGAUUUCCGAGCUGAUCGGGUACCAUCCCGUAAAAAUUCGAGUGAGAUAGGUUAAGAUAGUUUAAAUUUUUGAAAGAACCGAUCCACGGCGGAAUCGAGAUGGACCCAAAGUAAUUGUUGCUGAGGUCUAAAUAGCUCAGCUGCUUAAGACGGAGCAAAGAAGGAUCGAUUCUGUUGCUGACGAUUCCCCUCCAUUGAAGAUCUAAAUGCACGACGUGUCCGGUUCGGUCGUUGCACUCCACGCCUUCCCAUUUGCAGCAAUUUUUUCCCUCCCAAGAGGAGAAGCCAGCUGCAACAGUUCGGUUGAAAUCUCCGGCAAACCACAGAAGUGCUUCUCUCUCGGCUUCUGCAGUUCGGUUGAAACCUCCGGCAAAUCUCAGAAGUGCUUCUCUCUCGGCAUCUGGGCAACUCAUAUUAGAAGAUUUGAAUGCCAUUGCAUAAGCGUACAAGAGGAAGAGCAGCAAAGCUCUUAUCAUUGCUUUGUAAUAAUCCAUUCUCAGAUUUUUGUUAUUUAUAUAUUUUAGUUUCUUUUGUGCUGGCUUGUGUACCCAAUGCAUGUAUUGUAAAUUUAUAUAGUUAGCGAAAGCAGGUAGGCUAAGAUGAGGUCAUUAAUUUCCAGGACAACUUUUCUUUGCAGAGAUAGCUUUCAAGAUGACUUGACUUCACUUGACUUAGAGUCUACAUUUGAAUUUAGAGAACUGAAAUUUAAGAGAAAUUUGAAAUAGUCAAGAUCUUGCUUUCGCAUUAAUUUCAUGAUUCAAAUAAUAAAGUCAAGAUGCAUCAUUCCUAUUCAUUUCAUGAAUCAAAUAUUAUUAAAAUAUUAUAGAGAUCUCGUAAUCCCUUACGUUAUCAAGAUAGUGACGAAUCCGCAUAGUAUUUAAAACUGCGUGCAUUUUUCUUAGCUAAUAAAAUUUUAUACGCUGACAAGACAACAAUAUCAAUAAUUAUAAAUAAAAACAACAUUAUAUAUAAAAGAAUUGUGGUAGAAAUUAAUAUUAUUUGCAAUAUCUCGCAAACAUUUUCUUAAACUUUUUUUUGAGAAAAAGGUAGCACGCUACCUGCUUCAUUCAUUUAGAAGAUGAAUAACAUUUUCUUAAACUUUUAAACUUUGUCAACUAACCUUUAGAGCUUUCUUCUGAACUUUUAAUUUUAAUAACUAGGUCUCUUAAACUUAAUCAAAUAAUUUAGUUGGUCUUUUCUCUGAAUCAAAGUUACUAAAAAAACAGUUAAGCAGAUGACAUGCAUGUCCCAAAGAUGAUUCUGUAAAAUUUUAAAAUACAAAAAAAAAAAAGAAAUGCAAAAUACAAAAGUGUCCAUUAUUCAACGUAAUAAUUAUUCUUUUUUUUUUCGAGAAAGAGGUAGCAAGCUACCUGCUUCAUUCAUUAAGCCAAAUGAAAUAAUAAUUCAUCGCAAGUGGCGAGAGAGACCUCUUUAAUUUUCUUGUCGAUAUUUUGAUAGACACUUUUCUCUGCAUUUUAUUUUAUUUUAUUUUUCAGUAUCGUAGUAGACACUUUUCUCCUGUAUUUUAAUGUGGAAAUACUAAUCCUGGGUGCCUCUGCUGAUCACACUCCACCUGAAACACCAGUUAAAAGGGGAAUGCUAUUGUUGCCAAUUAAUUAAAAAUAAAAUAAAAUUUAUAAAAUCAAGAAUAAGUUAUAUACACAACUAAAAUCAAAUAAUGGAGAAUUAGUGAAUGCAAUUUAACCAUUGCCUCUAUUAACAUUAUUUCUUAGUUUCUACGCUAAAUUAUAUAAAAAAAAAAUCUCUAGCACUUUACAAUUGUCUGAAUUAGGUUAAAAAAAUUAAAAUAAUUGUUGAACUCUGUUGUAAAAUAUAUACAUAUUUUUUAUGAGAUAAAAUAUUAUUGUAAUAAUUUGACCUUAUUGGAUCUUUCGUUUCACAAUGCGUAAUAUUCUAGUAAUCUUUCAUAUUUCUUAAUCAAAAUAUUCAAAUUGUCAUCAUAUAAUUGAAGUUGGAAAAUUGUAAGAGGUGUUGGUGAUAUCAUGAAAUUAUGGUAGGCUUCCAACUAAUAGGCAAACUAUAAUAUCAUUGAUUAAAAAGUUUUAUCAUUUCUCUAACACCACAAUAUAUAGUCCCACAUCUGAUGGAAAAAUAAUUCCGAUUGAAUAUAUGAGGCCGCACACGCUAAUAAUAACAACUAGGGUUAAGUAUUUUGGCCAGUAGUUUUGAGCCUAACGAGUUAUUAUUGUUAGCGGGUCGAGUCGUUACAUCUUUACUAAAAUUAUAUAACUAUCUCGCUAAAUCCGUACGUAGCUAUCUCUGUUGCAACUUUUACCAAAUUUCACACUUUGUUAACUAAUUCAUUUAGCUUACAUGCUGCGAAUUUAUGUUAGACCAAGUCACGUUUGAAAUAGGGGGAGAUCGGAUUGCGCCGAGUCAUGUUCGAAAUGGCAUGAGGUUGGAUGGGCCGAGUCACAAUCGGAACCCCUGGGUGUUGUGUCUAUACGUCUCAACUGAAGUGAUUGUAUAUUUCUAACAAAUUAAGCUUUUGAAAUUAAUGAUUUGCUCCAAUGAUUCGACAAGGGGUACUCCACUUUCCUUCUUCUACUCAUCUUCUUUGUUGAACCUUUAACUGAGCUUUAUGAUUCUGCUUUUUUACAUUGCUCUAUUUGCUAGAUCUCUAAGAGCUUUUGUAAUUCAUAUUGCACUAUUUUGGAGACAUGCUGACUGUGUACUUCGUGGUUGUUGUUUCGUUAGAAGUAAUCUCCAGAGUCUCGCGUGUGAAGGGACAAUCUUACUUCUAAGACAGUGUCUAGCACCUCUCGACCCACAAGUCUUAUCUAAAGUUUUAUCUCUAUAAUAUUUUGCAAUUGAUUCUUAUAUGCGAUCUUUCAAAAUAGUUCUUUUAGUAUUUUCAAAUCGAUCGAAGUCUAGUUUCUUCAAGCUAAAUUUAUUUCUAAAAAAAAUAAAUGAAGUGGGUAGCAUGCUAACUUUCUCUCCUAAAACAAAAAUUUACAUCAGAAUAUUUAAAAGGAUAAUUUCUGGUAAAAAAAUGGACAAUUUUUUUAACAGAAUUUACUUGAAUUAUGGAUUAUUUUAAGUCGAAUGGCUGAUUCUUCAGAAUUUUGAUUUUACUAUCUAACAUUUUCAAUUUAUUUGAUUUAAAUUAGUUAACACAAAUUUGACUUAAAAAUUUAAGCUAAUUACUUUUUAGUAAAUUUAUAGUUGUGAGAUUUACAUCCAUAGUCUUUAAAAAUAUAUCUAUGUAGGAGCAGUAAUUGUAUGAAUCUGAGCGUACAAGUCAUUGAAACUGGAUGAACGAAUUAGAACGCAAUACAUGUAGACAAUGAUGUGCACCAUUUGAUUAGAAAAAUCUUAAUUAAGAAGAAAGGAAAAGAAAUGGAAAAAUAUAAUUACGAGAUGAGGUCGCAUGAAAUCAAUUAAAUCUUCAAUUAGGCACAAGUGUACUUGCCCAGAGGCCUUGAUGGAGGAAACUUAUCCUAAUUGGAUUAAAAAUUUCUUACACAAAAAUAUAUCUUUCAUUUGCUUAGGUUAAAUCACGUGAUUUAAAGAGUCAAGUUAAUUUUUGUCUAUGAUAGUAGUUACUCCAUCUACAUUAUGGGACUAAUUGGUCCACUUAUUUUAUUUGGUUUCGUGUAGUUACAACCGCUAUAAUUAUACAUAUUUAUUCUCUUCGGUAGUUUGAAAAUGUCUUUGCUUUCUCUCAAAUUGGAUGAUUUGAAUUUUUUUUUUUUUAUUGAUAUGGCUGGAAUUAGAGUUAAUUUGAGUGUAAUUCCAAUUAUAAUAGUUAGACUUACAUAUGCUGAUCCAAACACUAAUUUAAAUUUAUGGACAAUCAAAACUAUAGUAUAGUAGUACUUGUGCGCAAUCAAAUAGCCACAAUAUCUAGCAAAGAUUAUGGCUGCAGUUUAUAAUUUUUCUUAAAAUAGAGACUCGGAAUUCAAAAAGAAAAAAAAAAAACUCGUUAGCAAAGUGUAAAUUUCCAAUCAAAUUGGAACAUAAAGAAAAAUCCAAUUCAAAAUGAAUUGAGCUUUGAAGAGGUUGAUGGCAAUAAAAUUUGUUGUGCAUCUUAUAUAAAAGUAGAGAAGAGAGAAGUUGUCUUAGGUUGUUUUUUUUUCAGAGAAAAAUAUAGCAUAUUAUCUGCUUUGUUUAUUUUUUUUAGAAAUAAAUUUAGUUGGAAACAUGAAGCAGCUAUGCUUCGAAUUUGGGAUCUCGGGUACUAACUAUCAAGCCAAUUAAUUUGCCACAUGCACUAAGGUGAAAUUAUUUUAGGUUGUAAAUGCUCAUUUUCAUUAAUUAUUUGGUUCUUUGUAAACAAAAUUUCUCAUAAACUCUACUUUUCUAGAAAACGCUGCCCGGAAUGAAGAUCAAGUCAAUGACAAGAUAGACAGAGAAAGGAAAAUUAAUAAAGAAACAUAUAUAACUGCUGUAGUAAUUUUUUUUUUUUUACCCUUUUAUAUACUAGUGUGAACAUUUUUUAAAAAAUAAAUAAAUAAGGGAUAAUUGUAUUCUAAAGCCAUUGACUUUUUNUUCCACAUCUAAUGGAAAAAUAAUUCCGAUUGAAUAUAUGAGGCCGCACACGCUAAUAAUAAUAACUAGGGUUAAGUAUUUUGGCCGGUAGUUUUGAGCCUAACGAGUUAUUAUUGUUAGCGGGUCGAGUCGUUACAUCUUUACUAAAAUUAUAUAACUAUCUCGCUAAAUCCGUACGUAGCUAUCUCUGUUGCAACUUUUACCAAAUUUCACACUUUGUAAAAUAAUUCAUUUAGCUUACAUGCUGCGAAUUUAUGUUAGACCAAGUCACGUUUGAAAUAGAGGGAGAUCGGAUUGCGCCGAGUCAUAUUCGAAAUGGCAUGAGGUUGGGUGGGCCAAGUCACAAUCGGAACCCCUGGGUGUUGUGUCUAUAUGUCUCAACUGAAGUGAUUGUAUAUUUCUAACAAAUCAAGCUUUGGAAAUUAAUGAUUUGCACCGAUGAUUCGACAAGGGGUACUCCACUUUCCUUCUUCUACUCAUCUUCUUUGUUGAACCUUUAACUGAGCUUUAUGAUUCUGCUUUUUUACAUUGCUCUAUUUGCUAGAUCUGAGAGCUUUUGUAAUUCAUAUUGCACUAUUUUGGAGACAUGCUGACUGUGUACUUCGUGUUUGUUGUUUAGUUAGAAGUAAUCUCCAGAGCCUCGUGUGUGAAGGGACAAUCUUACUGCUAAGACAGUGUCUAGCACCUCUCGACCCACGAGUCUUAUCUAAAGUUUUAUCUCUAUAAUAUUUUGCAAUUGAUUCUUAUAUGCGAUCUUUCAAAAUAGUUCUUUUAGUAUUUUCAAAACGAUCGAAGUCUAGUUUCUUCAAGCUAAAUUUAUUUCUAAAAGAGAUAAAUGAAGCGGGUAGCAUGCUAACUUUCUCUCUAAAGACAAAAAUAUUUUCAAAUCAAAAUAUUUAAAAAGGAUAUAUAAUUUUUGGUAAAAGAAUGGACAAUUUUUUUAACAAAAUUUACUUGAAUUAUGGAUUAUUUUAAGUUGAAUGGCUGAUUUUUCAGAAUUUUGAUUUUACUAUCUAACAUUUUCAAUUUGUUUGAUUUAAAUUAGUUAACACAAAUUUGACUUAAAAAUUUAAGCUAAUUACUUUUUAGUAAAUUUAUAGUUGUGAGAUUUACAUCCAUAGUCUUUAAAAAUAUAUUUAUGUAGGAGCAGUAAUUGUAUGAAUCUGAGCCUACAAGUCAUUGAAACUGGAUGAACGAAUUAGAACGCAAUACAUGUAGACAAUGAUGUGCACCAUUUGAUUAGAAAAAUCUUAAUUAAGAAGAAAGGAAAAGAAAUGGAAAAAUAUAAUUACGAGAUGAGGUCACAUGAAAUCAAUUAAAUCUUCAAUUAGGCACAAGUGUACUUGCCCAGAGGCCUUGAUGGAGGAAACUUAUCCUAAUUGGAUUAAAAAUUUCUUACACAAAAAUAUAUCUUUCAUUUGCUUAGGUUAAAUCACGUGAUUUAAAGAGUCAAGUUAAUUUUUGUCAAUGAUAGUAGUUACUCCAUCUACAUUAUGGGGCUAAUUGGUUCACUUAUUUUAUUUGGUUUCCUAUAGUUACAACCUCUAUAAUUAUAUAUAGUUAUUCUCUUCGGUAGUUUGAAAAUGCCUUUGCUUUCUCUCAAAUUGGAUGAUUUGAAUAUUUUUUUUUAUGGAGUUAAAUUUGAGUGUAAUUCCAAUUAUAAUAGUUAGACUUACAUAUGCUGAUCCAAACACUAAUUUAAAUUUAUGGACAAUAAAAACAAUAGUAUAGUAGUACUUGUGCGCAAUCAAAUAGCCACAGUAUCUAGCAAAGAUUAUGGCUGCAGUUUAUAACUUUUCUUAAAAUAGAGACUCGGAAUUCAACAAGAAAAAAAAAAAACUCGUUAGCAAAGUGUAAAUUUCCAAUCAAAUUGGAAAUGAAAGAAAAAUCCAAUUCAAAAUGAAUUGAGCUUUGAAGAGGUUGAUGGCAAUAAAAUUUGUUGUGCUUCUUAUACAAAAGUAGAGAAGGGAGAAGUUGUUUUAGUUUUUUUUUUUUUUCAGAGAAAAAUAUAGCAUAUUAUCUGCUUUGUUUAUUUUUUUUAGAAAUAAAUUUAGUUGGAAACGUGACGCAGCUAGGUUUCGAAUUUGGAAUCUCGGGUUCUAACUAUCAAGCUAAUUUGCCACAUGCACUAAGGUGAAAUUAUUUUAGGUUGUAAAUGCUCAAUUUCAUUAAUUAUUUCGUUUUUUGUAAACAAAAUUUCUCAUAAACUCUACUUUUCUAGAAAACGCUGCCCGGGAUGAACAUGAAGUCAAUUACAAGAUAGACAGAGAGAGGAAAAUUAAUAAAGAAACAUAUAUAACUUUUUUUUUUUUUGAGAAAUAGGAAACAUAUAUAACUGCUGUAGUAAUUUUUUUUUUUACCCUUUUAUAUACUAGUGUGAACAUUUUUUAGAAAAUAAAUAAAUAAGGGAUAAUUGUAUUCUAAAGCCAUUGACUUUUAUCAAGGAACAACGGUAGAAAACACAUUAUUCAUUUGAACAUCACUAACAUUAAAAGCCACUUUUAACUUCACAAUCAAUUACUUUUAAGUAAAUAAAGGGGUUCAAUCUGGGGACUUGGGGAACGACGUGAGAAGCACGUGGGAUAGGUGGAUGUUAAGAAACAGAUCUCAGCCUGUUCGAACAAGAUUGACCAGCUUGAUAGCCUACUGAUGGAUCAACUGGAAUUCAAGAAAUAGUGCUAUUUUUAAGAAUAAAUACGCAGACUCUCUGAUGAUGAUAACUAAGAUCUCAAGAUUGGCUACCCAGUGGAAGGAUUGUCUGUCAUUUAAAAGCCAAGUUUCUUAGGUUUUUUUUUUUUUUUUUUUUUUUUUUUUUUUUUUUUUUUUUUUUUUUUUUUUUGCUUGUGCUUUUGCUUUUACCGAGAUUUUUUUACUUCACUCAUAUUGCUUAAUUCAUACUUCUAACGAAUGAAGUAGGUAGCAUGCUAUCUAUUUCUCAAAAAAAAAAAGAAGAAAAAACUAAACAAACAGGCCCUUUGAGUUGAAAUAUAAUGCAACUCACAUUUCCACGAGUUCGAGUAAUUGCAAGUCGUUUGCGGCGGACUGGCCUAUCUCGGAUGGUCUGGAAGGCUUGGACCUGGUCGGCUUGGACGGUCUGGAUUUGGGCUCCCUGUUGGCCCCUCCAUUCCUCCACUCGGGCCCACCCCUGGCUGUGCCUCUUUUGGUCUGGUGGACUCCUCGGGCUCACUCUUGCCCAGAUCUAUUUGUUUCUCGGGCCCCCCACUCGGGCCCACCCCUAGCAGAUCCCCCUCCUGUCAGGUGGACUACUUGGGUUUCCUUCACCUCGAGGGCCCUUCUCUCGGACCCAUCCCCUUCGCGAUUCUGGUUCUUUCUGCUCCUCGGCAGGUCGACCGUGAAGCUCUCGACUCUGCUUUGAAGCUCUCCUCCCCGACCGCCCCCCCUUCUCUCGGGACCACUGCUGCUUCGGAGAUCUCCACCCUUCAUCCUCCUGGGCCCUCCGCGAACCUGGGUCUUGCUUCGCUGGGCCAGGCCGCUUGCGUUGCUUCAUUGUCUGCCCCGGAAAUCUCCUCUUCAAUCUCCCUCCCUUCUCUCGGGCCCUCCGGAAACCUGGCGCCUGCUGCUCCUGGACCAGCUGUUUGCGAAGCCUCGUUGUCUGCUUCAGAGGCCCCCACUCCGACCAACCGGCCUUCGCUCGUCGUGGAUCCCGCCCCAUUCCCCCCGAGUGAGCCGAGGGGGCCGCCGCCGCCGAGAUCGAGUGCGCGCCUAGUCCAUUUUUCGAAAGGCUCUGCACUUGAGAGGGCGAAGCACCGAAAAGCUCUUCUCCUUGAAGGAGGGACGGGAGCCUUACCGCGCAACUGGAACACCAAAACGCUCUUGUCAAAGAGCUCUCUCUGCGGGGUGACACUCUCCAAUGCUGAAGCAGACGACCUCCAGAGCUUCCUCCUGCGAGGUUGAUCAUCUGAUGGACGAUCCUGUAACUGUGCCCUGUUUUGUGUCUGUCGCUUGUGUGUGUCUCUAUUUUCUCCAUGUUUAGCCUUCUAAGUUGGAAUGUUCGCGGUCUUAAUGACCCAGUCAAACGCAGUUGUGUUAAGUCAGUGGUCUCUAAACUCUUUUGCUCGGUCAUUUGUAUCCAAGAAUCUAAAGUAGAUUCAGUGUCCCGCUCUUUUCUACACUCUUGUUGCGGCUCUACUAUUGACAGAUGUCACUUCACUCCCGCAAUUGGGGCAUCUGUCAAGCGGAACGAGUUUCUACUUAACAAACGUUUAUGGGCCCCCAACCUGGGACGGGAAGGAAACCUUUUGCUCCGAAUUGUUGUCCCUCAACAAUAUCUGCUCUGAUAAUUGGGUCAUUUGCGGCGAUUUCAACUUCACCAGAAACCAAGCGGAACGAACUGGAAAGCAGUGGAGCACCAGAGCCAUGUCCAUGUUCUCUAAUCUCAUUUCGAACCUUGCGGUUAUCGAUCUGCCAAUCUCCAAUCAAAAAUUCACUUGGUCAAACAUGCAACGGACACCAACCCUUGCCAAGCUUGACCGUUUCCUAGUUUCAACAGAUUGGGAUCAAUCUUUCCCCCUUAGUAAGGUCACUGCGCUCCCUCGGAUCACAUCCGAUCAUACUCCGAUCGUUCUUUCUACGAGAACCCACUACACCACACGGAGAUUCCGAUUCGAGAGGGUCUGGCUCACCAAGGAGGAUUUCAUCAACAAAGUUUCGCUAUGGUGGAAAGACGUCACUCCUAAGAGAUCGUCUAUCCUCACCCUAACCGCUAAGCUCAGACACUGCAAAGCCAGAAUGAAAGAAUGGUGCAAGACGAACUUCCAUAGCAUAACUAACGCAAAAAGGGUUCUACAGGAAGAAAUUCAAAGCUUUGAUCUCCUAGAAGAACGGGCUAGCCUGCCUCAGGAAACUCUGGAUAAACGGGCUGACCUUAAAUCGCAACUCCUGCUUAUCAUUAAGGAAGAAGAAAUUCUUUGGAAAACUAGGGCUAAACAGCUUUGGCUCAAGGAGGGCGAGAGUAACAGUAAAUUCUUUCACGCGGUUGCCAACGGGCGUAAGCGAAGCAACGCGAUAGAUUUUAUUGAAGACGAAUCUGGACGCCAAAUCUUUAACGAAGUCCAAAAGAGGUCCUAUAUCUUUCAUUCCUUCAAACGACUGUACGGGCGGGAAGAGGAGGAACCGCCAUCCUUCGGAGACUGGAGUGGCCUCUACAGUGGAGGCACUGUGACUGACCCUGAUUCUCUUACUAGCUCAUUCACACAGGAGGAAAUUAAGAAUGCUACCUUUCAGCUGGGCUGUGACAAGGCCCCGGGACCUGAUGGCUUCUCUCUCACCUUCUUUCAACACUUUUGGGAGAUAGUUAAGGAGGACAUCUUCAAAAUCUUCACCGAUCUCCAUGAUAACACUCUCUCCACGGCCUCAUCUGACUACUCAUAUGUUUGUCUCAUCCCUAAAAAGGAAGGAGCGCGCAAAUUAAAGGACUUCCGACCGAUAAGCCUCAUCAAUGGGAUCCAAAAGAUAAUCUCCAAAGUUCUAGCCAAUAGACUUGCGCGAGUUUUGCCAACAAUUAUCUCCCCAACACAAUCGGCCUUCCUGAAAGAUCGUCUACUGGCUGACUCCUUUGUCACAGCAAGCGAACUUGUUAACUGGUGCUCAAUAAUUGGUAAGGAGUGCGUCACUAUUAAGGUCGACUUUGAGAAAGCUUUCGAUAAUGUCAGAUGGCCCUUCUUGAAAAGUAUCCUGCGAUGGCUCGGUUUCAGCGACAAAUGGUGGAGUUGGAUUGAACAAUGCAUUUGCAAUGCUAAAAUCGCAGUCUUAGUAAAUGAUUGCCCUACAUCGUGGCUGAAAGCACAGAAGGGGGUUAGACAGGGAGACCCGCUCUCCCCCUACCUUUUCAUCUUGGUCGCCGAUUGCCUGACCAGACUCACUGAAACUGCUAGGGCCAACGGCUUGAUUCACGGAAUUGGCCCAACCGCAGACUGUCAAACUGUGCUUCUUCAAUAUGCGGAUGACACAGUCUUUUUUAGCGAACCACGGAAGUCAUACAUGCGUAACCUCCUGUUUAUUUGGAAGAUCUUCGAAUGGGCAUCAGGACUUAAGAUCAAUAGAAACAAAACGGAACUUUACUACCUGGGUUCAAACCCAAGUAGAGCGGAUACACUCGCCGACAUUUUGGGUUGCAGGGUAGGUAGUCUACCGUUCAGAUACCUGGGGUUGCCGCUUCACAACAAACCACUUCGAAGGGAGGAUUGGGAUCUGAUUGUUAACCGUAUAGAAGCACGUAUAGAGGGUUGGAAGGCUAAACUACUAUCACAAGGAGGAAGGCUCACCCUAGUUAACUCGGUGCUGACAAACUUGCCGCUAUUCUACUUCUCCAUUUUCAAAGCGCCACAAUGGGUUUUACACCGUUUAGAAGCCCUAAGAAGAUCCUUCUUCUGGAAAGGGUGUUCCAAGAUUUCUGGGGGAUCUUGUCUAGUCGGCUGGAAAACUAUCUGCAAAAGCAAACAACAGGGAGGAUUAGGAAUAAAAGAUUUGGAAUCAAUGAAUACGGCACUUCUAACCAAAUGGUGGUGGCGCUUUCUAAAUGAGCCACAACUGCUCUGGGGGAAGUUGAUUAGAUCUUUAUACUACAUCAGAAGAAGGCCGUUACACGAGGGAAGAGCUUUCAGACCCUACUCCCAGUGGUGGAAAAGCGUGAUAAAGUGUCGUGACGUGUUCAGAUGUGGCGUUUCCUAUGUCCUCGGAGAUGGAAGAAACAUUAAGAUGUGGCUCGACAUUUGGUUUGGGGAAACCCCUCUUAGCACCAUGUUCCCCGAAAUCUUCGCCGAAAUUGAGCAUAAGGAGGUCACAGUCUCUCAAUGCUGGAACGCUGCCGGCUGGAGAUGGCGUUUCAUAUCCAGAGGGCUCGCAUCAACUCCUUCCCCAAAUAGUCGGAGACAGCUGACGACGCUAAAAGAGCUGCUAACUCUUUACAAUCCAAACAACACACCGGAUGGGCUCAGGUGGCGGUGGACUAGCGGCGAAACUUUUACUGUCAAAUCUCUAUACAACUUUAUUACUGAUGCAGGACAGAGAGACUUGACGUACGUACACGUUUGGAGUUUACGUACUCCGGUCAAAAUUAAAAUCUUCAUCUGGAUUCUGCUUCGCAAAAGACUUCUUACUGCCGAUAGACUGCUUCUUCGUGGCUUCCCCAUAAACCAGCAUUGUGUUUUCUGCGCUAUCUCCUCAGAAAACUGUGACCAUCUCUUUUGCAACUGUGUUUUUGCCAAAUAUCUACUUUACAGUGUAGGAAUUUCUGACACAUCUAACUAUGGCCUGGGGGACGUGCGACGUAUAUGGGCGAAUACCUCUAAUACUCCGGAUGCUACAAUCAGAAUGCAACGUCUAACCUACUUGGCGGCAAUCUGGUGGGUCAUCUGGACGGAACGCAACAACACUAUCUUCCGUGAGUACCUUCCUAAUGCUACCAGGGCUCUUGAGCGCGUAUCUAACUUGAUGAUUGCUUGGACUUCUAUAUUUUAAAGUCUCACUUGUUCGACCUGUACUUUCUACAUUCGCUCUUGUUUCCUUUCUUCUCCUUUUCCUUCUUCUUUUUUGCUUUUUUUAGGAGGCCCUGGCUGCUUCCAAUAUGUAAGCCUAGUUCAUUUCGCUUGAUGAAUGAAGCAGGUAGCUUGCUACCUCAUUCUCAAAAAAAAAAGAGUAAUUGCAAGAGUUCGAUAUUUUUGUUCCAUCCACUAGCUAUAAGGUUAGUAUUGAAUUAAUUUUCUUACAUUGCUUUACUUUCCCGCAGGAAAGGAGAAAUUUUAUGAUAAAAUAGGAAUAAAAGAAACUAUAUCAAGAGAAGUACUUCCUAAUUGGUUCAAAUGAGAAACAUUUGGCAGCAUAUAGAAAAGAGAAUUCUGCUUUUAUUUAUCAAAAUUGAUUAACUUUCAGAUCAAUACAUUUCAGCCGUCAAUUGUGUUUGUUUUUUACAUCUUUUUCGUAAGUCUUGCAAAGUAUACUCUAGCGGUUACAUAGAGACUGUCAUACAAGCUAUCUACAUAUUGGAACCACCAAACCCUACAUGUCUUGCGUACCAAUAGAACUCCGAUAAUAGUCCAAAACCCAACUGCAAAUCCUGCUAUUGUAAUAAGGCAAAGGAGUAAGAUCUCUUUUCGAUUUUCAUCUGCCUUUUUUGAAACAUCAGAUCCUGCACGACCAUUAACAGUCGGUGGAGUACGACUUAACUGGCCAAUUGUCGGGCCUUCGGCUUGGCCUGCAUUGCUUGUGCAUCUCACACUUAAUGGAAAUCCGCAAAGAUAUUGGUUUCCGACAUAUAUGUUAGGAUCGGGGAAUGUGUCCAUUUGCCUUCCGGUCGGAAUUCUUCCCGAAAAGUUGUUGUAAGAUAAGUCCAAGAAGUCCAAGAAGGUUAAGUUGGACAAGCUAGAAGGAAUUGCUCCUGAUAAUUUGUUUCUCGACAAGUUGAGAGAUUCUAGCUGCAUCAUAUUGCCGAUGUUGGAUGGUACUUGUCCCAUUAGAUCAUUACUCGACAAGUCCAAUAUCAGCAAUCCAAGAAGAUUUGUUAUUUCAUCGGGUAUGCGUCCUGACAAGCUAUUCCUAGAGAGAUCCAAGAUCGUAAUCUGCGAAAGAAGAUUGUUACCAUAUCGAUCUUCUCUUCCUUUGAUGUCCAAUAUCAUAUUCUCCUCAUAGUUAUAUACUGAGUUAUUUAGGAUGAAUCCAAUGUUUGUAAGAGGGGUCCUCAUGGACAUGAAGUUGCCGAAGCUUAUCGGUAUCGGCCCUGAAAGAUUGUUGUUUGAGAGGUCUAAGAUUUGGAGAGCAGUAAGAUUAGAGAGUUCUGUUGGAAUUCGGCCGACAAACUUGUUUGAUUUCAAGCUAAGAAUCUUGAGAGACGAGAGCUCUCCAAGCCAGAUCGGGAUCCUUCCUGUAAACAUGUUACCACCAAGAUCAAGAGUAUCUAGACUCUUGCAGGUCUUUAAGGAUGACGGAAGCUCUCCGGAUAAACUGUUUCCCCUUAGGUGCAAGGAUUGAAACUGAGGCGAUUCACAAAGCCAUUCGGGUAUUCCUCCGGAAAGAUUAUUAUUUGAAAGAUCCAAAACUUCUAAUUGAGUAUUAUUUUGACAGUUUGGGAGCUC